rnacentral:lncRNA from 1 species
AUAAAAACUCUUAAAAUAACCUUAGCGUCAAUGUCUUAUAAUAUUUUUAAAAUGGAUAUUCAUAUUGGUGUUGGGGAGGUCUCUGCUCCAAGGUCCUAGCUAACAAAGAUUAUGUACACACUUUCUCAGGGUAAGGCUAUCUCUAACAAGAGCCGGUAAAACGUCUUGUACUCUAAAUAUAGCGGAUGUAGACGUUUGGUACGCGUCCAACAACAUCCGUUAAACCCUCCGAUAAAAAAUAUUGGGUCUCCUUCAUCCGCUAUAUUUGGAGGGUAGACGAUGUCUCGCUAUCCACUGUGCAGCACAUGCUUCCGUUCUCUCCUGCGCUUGCUGGGAAGCUCCUGAAGUCGUUCGAUGGCGGCUGCGGCGGCCGCGCAUCACUGUCAUGCCAGAGCCAGACAUGAAGAUAGAUGGAUCUUCCGAUACAUACGUAAAAAUAUGUACGUAAAUAUGAAGAUAGACGGAUAGCUUACAAAAUGUAAUUAUUAUAAUUAGUUUCUAAUUUAUUUUUCACAGCAUAGAAAGAAUAUUUUAUUACGUAUACGACUAGAAAAAAUAUAAUAUAAAUGUAUUGUGAAAUCUGGUAAUACUGUAGAUGUAAAUAAAGUUUCGAUCCACAAAGAGGAGUAAAUAAAGUUUUGACCGAUCCACAAAGACAAAAGGAUAUAAGCCAAAUGAAGGAAAAGAGAAGUUUCGAUGUAUUCAGGAUUACCCUCGAGUGAAGAAAACAAAAUGAUGUUUCUAAGGGGAGGAAAAGUCGUACACAACAUGUUGAGGGUGUGAAAUGACCAAGCCGUAUUCCUUUGAUUGUGAAAGACUAUUAUAAAACAGGGAGGGUAAAAUUAUAAUUUUACAUGAACACAUAUAUCAACCCACCUAUAACUAGAUGAAUAGUACCACGACUACAUGGAUCAACCAUUUAUAAUCUUGCGCCUAAAUCAGUUUCUCUUUGGAGUACCUCCAAAAGUGUAGCUAAGAUGAAGCUCUGUUAAUCGUAGAUUCUUCAUAUGGCUCAUUGUUCAAUAGUUGUCAUAGUAUUUUUUUUCGUUGAAAGGAAUGGAUGAUUUUUGUUAACAGCGGGUGGAUAUUUGCUUCAUCUUGAGUUAUACUUCUUUGUUCAUAUAUAUAUAUAUAUAUAUAUAUAUAUAUAUAUAUAUAUAUAUAUAUAUAUAUAUAUAUAUAUAUAUAUAUAUAUAUAUAUAUAUAUAUAUAUAUAUAUAUAUAUAUAUACACUACUUCUUAAGAGAGGAGCGUAGGCGUCCACACCAACCGGUUCUGCCUCCGCUUCGAUGCCUGGUGGUCGCGCUUUCGUCGGCGCCAUCAGCGGUGGUCGCUAUUCCUUCCCUAUCCGGCGUCCGCGAUGCUCGCCGCCCCUGCUCCCCACGCGUCGGUCGCGUCCCUCCCCACUGGCCCGCCUCGCUCCCCUCCAACCCCAAACUCCCCAGCGGGGGCCAGCCUAGGAUGAAGAGCCAUCGCGCAGGUGGAAACCGCUCCCCCAUUCCAUCGACGGGCGCUCAACCUAGAUCCCCUUCCACCGAUCUCGUGCUCACCUUCCACGUUCGCGGCCGCCACGCUCCGGCGCCGCUCGCCCCAGUCCCGCUCGCGAUCCUUGCCUCCCCUGUCUAUUUCCCUAGACGCGCAGAGCUGGGAGCGCUGAUCCCCACCUCCAACCUCGCUCCCCCCUGUCCUCUGACUCGCCAGCUCCCCCGUCCUCCUCCAUCGCGCUGCGCGUUUGCAACUCCCAGUCCCACCUCCGGCGCGUCUGCCAGCCAGUAGUCAGUAGACUUGAUCAUGUCGUCGCGGAAGCAUCACGAGCUGCCGGAGGGAGGAGCAGGGGAAGCGGCGCCGGCCGCACGGCGGUGUGGGACACCGAGAGCUCCCUGUACGACUCGUACGAGCUGGCCGCCGUGCGCCGGCUCCUCGACAAGCGCCUCCUCGCCCUCCGCGACGCUGAAGAGACGAGGGGCAAGGGCAGGCAACUGGUGGUCGUGCCGGUCGUCAGCAGCAGGGGGGUCCACCACAGGAGGAAGGCCACGCUGAGGGCGCUCUUCAGGGCGGUGGCCACCUGUGCGGCCCCGCCGAGGCAGGCGCCGCCGCUCGCCUGUGCCUGCGCUGCUGGCAUGGUCCAUGACCACCAGGGUGGUUCCGCGGUCGAGCCGGAGGAUCUGCCGUCCCACGGUCAACUUUGAUGAUCAUCCCUGUGUUUAGUCCAUUUGUUCUUGCAUUGCAUUGGCGCAAGUUGUUUUUUUCCUUUUGUGUUUAUCUAUUGCUGUGGGGGUUUUUUUACGCUGUCCUGUUCAUGCGAUGGUUGGCCAUUGAAGAGUACUGAGCCCACCGGAUCUGUAUACGUGAAUCUGCGUGAAGCAUACGAAAGCUUUUGGCGGUGAAUGAUCUCUCUGGACACUAUUUUUCUUUGUUUGCUUUAGAACGCGUCACAUAAUCACAUGUGGUGUUUCUGAAUUUUCUUCAGCGACGACACCGCUGUUGCCGCAGCCCCUCAGGACGUCUUGGGUCUUGGCUGGCGGUGUCGGCGGAGCUCAGCUAACAGAAGAUGACGUAGUGCCCUGGGUCGCUUGAUAAGCAGAUGAACUUGGAGCUCCGGCGACGAGCUGCGGAAGCCCGCUAUCUUCACAACAUCUCUCCCGGCAUUCAAGAGCGAAUAAUGUCAAUAAGUGAUAAUGUCAAUAAUGUCAAUAACACACUAAACAUGCCUGCAUCUUUCAUAUGUGUAUUUGUGCUCAAAUCUUUAAUUGCUACUGCUGUUGUUUAUUUUCUCCUGUUGAUUGUGCACACGAGAAAUUAUAUUUGAUCCUCUUAGUGGAUUUGAUGCAUGCAGACUGGUUAUGGGGGUUCUUUUCUUCCUGGCAUAAAGCAACGGUUGUUGUCAUAUAUUUUUUGCAAGACGUGGAAUGAGGUUCCAUAUCAGACUUUGGUUAGUUAUCUUGUUUGAACCAUUUUCCAGUAGUAUUUGAACUUCUAUUGAUUCUAGAUGACUAGAUCAUUUACAUAUAAUCUGACAUUAAUCUCAUUUUUUAAAUAACUAACGAAAGCUUAAAUUCAUAUUAAAUGUGCCCACCUAUUUGUCAUUUACAAAGAAUAGUACUUUAUCUAUGCGUGUUGGCGUACUGAUUGUUGCUUCAUUUGAAAUGUUGAAAUGAAAACAUUCUUAUUGCUUAUUCCUUUUUUGGUGAUAUUACUGCCUUCUAGACAUGCUUUAUUAAAGUGAAAAUAUUUCUCUUUUUGUUUGAACUUCGAAGUAGUGAUCUUCUCACGCUGACCUAAAGAACCGGUUCUUAUUAGGUAUUACGCCGUGUCUUCUCACGCUGACCUUAUUUUAUAAAUUGUUAACAGAAUUCUUCGGAGGAUAUCUAUGCGUGGUACUGAUUAAGUAAAAGACGUUAUUAGUGAUGCAUUUUCACAAAUAAAAGUCUAUAAAACCAUAGCAGUCUUCAGUCCUCAGUAUUUUCUCUGAAUUCUUCGAACUUUCUUUAGGAUUGAUUGCAGAUCAUUGAUUUGUGUUAUUAAUGGGAUUGAUUUGUGUUAUUAAUGGGAUGUACUGAUUAUAUAUAUUAAUGAGUAUCCGUUUUAACUGUAGGACAUUGUGAUAUUUCCUGAAGAUUUGUAUAAGUUUGUAAUUUAUAUAAAGAAGUUUGUAAGAUGCAAUUAACAUGACAUUAUUAAAUUAUAUAUAGAAGUCUGUGUGGUACUGAUGGUUGUAAUGUAGUAGAGAAAUGAGUGAUGGUUGUAAUGUAGUAGAGAAAUGAGUGAUGGUUGUAAUGUAGUAGAGAAAUGGGUAGAUUAAAUUUAAAAAAAAUUAUGUAUAGCUAGGAUCAUAAAUAUAUUAUGAAACUUUUUCUCAUAAAAGUAUAACACGCAUUUGUUUUCCGUUCCCGACUAUUCCGGACCCGAUCCCGUUUCCGAUGAUAAAAUGUGGAUACGAAAACGGGAGAGGGGGUUUUUCCGUCCGUUUCCGUCUGUUUUCGUCCCUAUUUGUAUAUAACCUAUUGUGUUAUUAUAUGUUUCCGUUGCAACGCACGGGCACUCAACUAGUGUAUAUAUAUAUAACUGUUCAUAUAAUUAACUCAAACGACUUCCAAACAAGCUCUUUAACCAUCCUUCGUGAUGGUUGCGCAUGCAUAUGAGCUAGCUGCGACCGUCGACGCUAUUUGGCUAGACUUAAUUUUUCCUUUAGUUUGGGUUUGUUUAGAUCUCACGUGCUAAACUUUAGCAUCUUUUAUGCUAAUAGGUGCUAAAGUGUAGCACAUUUUACACUCGGGUUUAGAUCUCUAAGUGCUAAUGUUUAUUAAAAGCAUAGUGCUAAACUUUAGCAUUAUGAAUCUAAAGCACUAAGGCUAUUUCCAGCAGCUUACUCAUUCUCAUACACAUAUUCAAAUUUCACGUGCGAACAGUGCAGUGUAUAGUACAGAACAGUAUAAAACCGUGUUUUGGGUGACUAUAUGGGUGAACUGCUGGACACGGUCUAAUAAGUACUCCAUCCGUCUACAUGAUUUAGUCGUUUUGGAUUUGUUCUAAGUCAAUCACUAUUAACUUUGUCGGUGUUUCGAGAACGGGGGGUCCCUGGGCCGACGAGUGAAAUGUCGCCGCGUGCCCCAGCCCAGAUGGGUCGGAGCGAGACGGAGCGCGAAGGGGGGAAGAAGGCGGCCGGAGCGAGAGAGAGAGGAAGAGGUGGAAAUCCCGCGACCUUCGUGUUUGUCCCGCGCCCAGGUCGGGUGCGCUUGCAGUAGGGGGUUACAAGCGUCCACGCGGGAGGGGGAGCGAGCGGCCUCACGCGAGCACCUGUCCCGUCCUCUUCCCCGCGCGGCCAACCCCCUGUAAGAGGGCCCUGGUCCUUCCUUUUAUAGGCGCAAGGAGAGGAUCCAGGUGUACAAUGGGGGUGUAGCAGAGUGCUAACGUGUCUAGCGGAGGAGAGCUAGCGCCCUAAGUACAUGCCAUCGUGGCAGCCGGAGAGGUUUUGGCACCCGGUUCGUGUGGUGUCGUGGCCGUCGGAGGAGCGCUGGAGCUUGGCGGAAGGACAACUGUCGGUGUUGUCGAGUCCCUGCUGACGUCCUCUUGCUUCCGUAAGGGGGCUAAGAGCCGCCGUCGUCAUAGAGCGUGCGGGGUGCCAUCAUUACUUGUCUGGCGGAGCGAGCCAGAUGGGACGCCGGUCUUGUUCCCCGUAGCCUGAGUCAGCUUGGGGUAGGGUAAUGAUGGCGCCUCCUGUUGACGUGGUCGGUCCGUGCCCUAGGUUGGGCGAUGUGGAGGCUCCUCCGAGGUCGAGGUCGAGGUCGAGUCUGUCUUCUGAGGCCGAGGUCGAGUCCGAGCCCCUGGGUCGGGCGAGGCAGAGACCGUCGGCGGAGGCCAGGGCUGAGUCCGAGCCCUGGGGUCGGGCGAAGUGGAGUUCGUCGUCUUCAGGGGCUGAGCCCGAGUCCGAGCCCUGGGGUCGGGCGGAGCGGAGUUCGCCAUCUUCCGGGGCCGAGCCCGAGUCCGAGCCCUGGGGUCGGGCGGAGCGGAGUUCGCCGUCUUCCGGGGCCGAGCCCGAGUCCGAGCCCUGGGUUGGGCGGAGCGGAGUUCGCCGUCUUCCGGGGCUGAGCCCGAGUCCGAGCCCUUGGCCGGGCGGAGCGAAGUUCGCCGUCUUCCGGGGCCGAGCCCGAGUCCGAGACCUGGGUCGGGCGGAGCGGAGUUCGCCGUCUUUUGGGGCUGAGCCCGAGUCCGAGCCCUUGGUCGGGCGGAGCGGAGUUCGUCGUCUUCCGGGGCUGAGCCCGAGUCCGAGCCCUGGGUCGGGUGGAGCGGAGUUUCCUAUGGUGCCUGAGGCCGGGCCUGACUGCCUGUCAGCCUCACUCUGUCGAGCGGCACAGCAGUCGGAGCGGCGCAGGCGGCGCUGUCCUUCUGUCAGGCCGGUCAGUGGAGCGGCGAAAUGACUGCGGUCACUUCGGCUCUAUCGACUGGAGGACGCGCGUCAGGAUAAAGGUGUCAGGCCACCUUUGCAUUAAAUGCCCCUGUGAUUUGGUCGGUUGACGUGGCGAUUUGGCCAGGGUUGCUUCUUGGCGAAGACUGGGCCUCGGGCGAGCCGGAAGUAUGUUCGUCGCUGGAGGGGGCCUCGGGCGAGACGGAGAUCCUCCGGGGUCGGCUUCCCUUGCCCGAGGCUAGGCUCGGGCGAGGCGUGAUCGAGUCCCUCGAAUGGACCGAUCCCUGACUUAGUCGCACCCAUCAGGCCUUUGCAGCUUUGUGCUGAUGGGGGUUACCAGCUGAGAAUUAGGAGUCUUGAGGGUACCCCUAAUUAUGGUCCCCGACAGUAGCCCCCGAGCCUCGAAGGGAGUGUUAACACUCGCUUGGAGGCUUUUGUCGCACUUUUUUGCAAGGGGACCAGCCUUUCUCGGUUGCGUUUUGUUCCGGUGGGUGCGCGCGAGCGCACCCGCCGGGUGUAGCCCCCGAGGCCUCGGAGGAGUGGUUUGACUCCUCCGAGGUCUUAAUGCCUCGCGCAAUGCUUCGACUGGUCUGAUCGUUCCCUCAUGCGAGCUGGCCGUAGCCCGGGUGCACGGUCGGGUCCUAAGUUCUCGGGCUGGUAUGUUGACGCUGUCAACGGUUUGGUCGGAGCCGAGUUUGCGAGAGCAGCCCCCGAGCCUCUGCACAGGGCGAGAGGACGGUCAGGGACAGACUCGACUUUUUUACAUACGCCCCUGCGUCGCCUUUCCGCAAGGAGGAGGGGGGAAAGCGCCAUGUUGCCCUCGGCGGGCGCCGAACAUGGUGUCUCCGGUGAGCUGCUGGUAGGUAAUCUGAGCGGACGUCUGUGCCCUAUUUGUUAGGGGUCGGCUAGAGGCCCAGAGGCGCGCCCAAAAGUACCUGCGGGUGAUCUGUCGGACCCGGUCCCCUGUCGACGGGGUCCGAGGGCUCGAUGCCUCCCUCUGAUGGGAUUCCGUUACAAGAUCGUUCCCGCUGGUCUCGGAAAUGUCCUAGGGUACCUCGGGAGCGUAGCCCGAGCCUCGGUUAUGUAUCGAACGUACCCAGGGUCAUCCCUCGCUCUGUGUCUGAAGCGGCUGUGAACCCUUCGAGGGCCAGCCUUCGAACCCCUGAUCAGUAGUGGGCGCGGAGCCCGAGUGGCCUGAGGCAGCCGUUGAACCCUUCCGAGGGGCCGGCCUUCGAACCUCUGACCAGUAGUGGGUGUGGAGCCCACGCGCUCUGAGCGGCUGUUGAACCCCUCCGAGGGGCCAGCCUUCGAACCCCUGAUCAGUAGGGAGGCUCGGAGCCUGUUUCCUUCACGGAGAAGGAUCCUUUUCGGGGUAUCCCCAUUUCCUGGUCCCUGUUGUAAGAGAGAGAAAGAGGAAAAGGAAAAGGAUACGAAAUCGAAUGACGCGGCGUACCUUUUGGACGCGGUCGUUAUGGCGAAGGCGAAGCGUCGCUUGCUUCUCCUGCCUGAGGCGCCGCCUGUCCCGCCGCGGAGUUAAUGCGACGGAGCGGACGGUUCGCGGGGUGGCCGUUGCACGUGCGCGAGCCGUUCGAGGAACGGAACACGGGCGCGCCGUCUUCACGCCGUGAGAGAGGGUUCUCUCACUGCCCAGGAUGGGACGUAAGCUUGGCUGACGACGUGACCGCUGCUCCUGCCCGCCUGCCACCGCCAUUACUGCCGGCCCAUUUUUGGCCGUAUUGACCGUCGCGCCUGGCUGGCACUGCUGGCUCAUACGCAGGGUUGCCUCGAGUCGCGGCACUGGUUCCGCAGUCGAGGAGGCGUGGCAGUGGUGCGAGUGGCGGUGCAGUUGCUUGCACGUAGCGACCGGCGCGCCGGUUGCGUGACGCGUGGGCGUGGGCCCCCACGCUGGGUGCUUUGGAAGUCGGAGGGGCGCGCCCACUUGGCGCGGUUGCAUGCCGCCUGCAUGGCCGCCCGCCCUUUCGCCCGCCGGUCUGGGCGAAAGCGGAGGGAUGCUCGUAACCGCUGGGCGGUUGCAUGCACCGCACGCGGCGGUUUGGCUUCUUCUGCUCUGGGCCAGUUUGCAUGAUGCGUGGGACCCAGCCCCCGCGCCGUAGGGGGAGGACCUUGGAGCGUGUUGGAGAAGACUCAGCCCACGACGGCUGGGGACGCAAGUAGGGAGAGUCGCCUUUAAAAGGAGGGUGACCCCCUUGGAAGGCGACCAUGUCUUCGCGCUCCCUUAUGUAUCGUGUCUUUCCACCUUCUGGGCCCUCGGAUGGGGGACACCCGCAAUCCUUCCGCCUCGUCGUUGGAGGAACGCAACUCCGUGGGAGUUGGCACCUUUCAGCCAUCGUUCGGCUUCAAGGAUUUUCAUCAUGCAGCCCGGCUGCACCCCUCCGUCGGCGGUCACCCAGGACGGUGACCUCCAGUUCGAUGGCGGGGGAAAGCAAACCGGGCUGCGGCCUCUGCCCCUCCCUCAGCCUCAAGGAUUUUCAUCAUCAGUGCUGGGGAGGGGAGUGUGCCGAGUUGGGAUCGGCCCCUACGUGGGCGGUGGCCCGCUCCUUCCCUCAGUGAUCGGGGGGAAGGGCGUUCGCCGUCCGUGGCGCUGGCAGCUGCCGCGUGCCUGGCUCUCGGACUCGAGUGGCUUCGGAGCCGCUCCCGGCGCCGCCUUCCGCCAUGGCAGCUGGAAGAGGUUCUUCCGCCGACGAGAUAGUCGGGGCCGCCCACGGACCGACCUCCAACUCUACGGCCUUCUGCCCGUCCUUGCCUCACGAGUUUGGGCACGGGCGAGGGCCUCAUGGCAGCAGCAUCCGCCCUGAGGUCAUCGCUGCUGCUGUUCGGCCCCCCGGAGCAGAAGUCGUCGUCGUCGCCGCUGCUGGAGCGGGCAACGGCGAGCUGUUCGUCGGUCUUCCGUUGCUCCACAGGCCUCCCAAUCGAGUGGGGUUGUUCGUACCUGCGGAGGUGGAACCGGAGUUCCGUUUGUAAUGGCACCUUGGAUGCCAGUGUUCUGUUCAUUGUGGUUGUCGGGGCCUGAACGUGUAUGUAUUUUUGGCGCGGAGCCAUGUUUUUUCCUCAUUUUUGAGCACUAAGACUCGCCUGUUGGUUGUCUGAACCGCUUCACCAAGCGUGAGUCGCCCCGUACAAAGGUGACGAGUGAGGUAUCUGUAUCCCGGAGGCGUAGGAGUCCCUCGGCUCGGUCGGCCCUGCUGUCCGAGGCUUCUCUUGCUUAGUUAAAGGAACCCCUCGGCCGCUCUUCGAUGAGCCGAGGCCUGGGUAGCGGUGUCAGCACGGACAGAGGCAGAGUUGGCUCGAAAAGAAGACUUGGUCGGCCGGAGCCUGGCCGGGUCGUCCGUUAGCGAGACCGACGCCGGAGUUGAUUUGCCGAGGCCUCGGGCCGGGCUGAUGUCUUCGGGGGACAACUGACCGAGGCCUCGGGGUGACCAGCCGAGCCGCCUGCUCGAGCCGGAUUCUUGGAGGAGACCCAGGCGGCGAUGGCCGGGCGUGAUGAUGAAGUCGUCCUUUAGAGUGGGGAUCCUCGGACCGCGUCGCCGUCCGAGGCUAGGUCGGACCUCGCCGAAGGUGUAGUCGACGCCGAGGGUGCUGCUGCUCCCUUCAACUGUCAAGAUCCGAGCCUGCAGAAUCAGAUUAUCUUGUAGUGUGCGUUUUCUGCGGCCGCCGAGGUCCAAACACACCCUCGCCAUGUUGUAAAGUUGCGCUUCUUUUCCUCUUGUUUCGAGUAUCUGGACUUUUCCGUCAGUAACUGAAGCGUCCCCAAUCCUGUGGGACUCAAAUGUGAUACAAUUACUAGUCCCAGGAGGCUAGUAAACACAUUUAUACAUCAGAUGAUACCAAAUCUGCUUAAACGAGACAAACCUACAAAGGUGGCGAACAACUUUAAGAGUUGGUCCACAACUCGGGACAUAUCAUCAGAGUGGGGCUGAAGCAGCCCGAUAUACGCAGCGAAGCAAUUCAGCGGUCCAACAGCCACAGGCAAGGUUGGGAACAGUCGUAACUCUUACCCGGUCUCCUUUUUCUGAAAAACAACAAAUAAGCAAGGGUGAGUACAAACGUACUCAGCAGCCCACCUUCACCCGCGGAAUGGGGAAAUCAGAUAUAAUGCAUGGAAUAUGUGGAGCUCAAGAUAUUUUGCAGAAACGGCAAUAUUUUAUGCAGAGUUGUUUUGAAAAACAUUUUGUAUUUUUGCAAAGCGCAUCCCCUCCAAAAGGAGCAGGAAGUUUUUCAGUAUUAUAACAAAAUCCCCUGGACUAAACCAUCCAGGUAUCUCAGCAGUUUCCCACUGGUUUUUCCUUUUUCAAAAACAGCUACUGGACUUCCCGUCCACCAUAGCUCACGGCUCAACCGCCGAACCUUUUAAAAACCACUUUUCUCAAACGCACCCUUUUUUUGAAAAACAAAACAUUAAUUGCCAUACCAUACCAGACUCGUCCAUUCCUGUGGACACAGACUAUUCGAAUAGGUUUUCAAACUCUGCGCAGAGGUGUACACUUUACCCACUAGUCCGGCUCUGCGAUCCCAUGAUCAAUGAGACCCGAAUCCGACUCUCUUUCUUUCCCUGCACGUCCUAACCUUAACGGUUAUCCGGAAGGAGUCAGGCCACCACCAUGUCCAAACCGGACAAAACUUUCCCCUCCUUAUCCUCCCGGUGCUCCCCAGCCUUCAUAACCCUGGGGUUGGGCCGUACGAGUUCAGAUUGAGUGACUGCCCACACAGUCUCGAGUGGUUGUACUUAUCAUGAGUACAGGUAGUGAAAGAUGACAAACCGGUCCUUAUACGAGGGGACAAUCCUUCUGCUCACGCCUAAACCAGCUGAGCCAUCACCUUAGGCCCUCCCCUAAACCAGGGAGUCCCUGAUUAUCCCGACUCAAAGGUGAUAAGGGUGAAAACCCUUCAUCAUACACAUUUUGAAAAACAUUUUCUUUUGAAAACUCACACCUUUCCUCAAAUCAUUUGUAACAAAUAUAUCAGGGAUUGAUUGCGGCAAGCGGAUGGGUGGCCAUAAUAACUUGUCUUAAAAUCAUAUCAUGCAUAAAAUAACAGGCUGAGGGUUGUGGUUGUAAAACAUAGGUAAUUUAUGCAUCAAAGGGAUCCAGUGAGCUUGCCGUGCUUAUUCGGCGAAGGGGGAAGGGGAGCUCACGGAACUGGCUUCUGGCUCCACCGCCUGGCGUAGACUUGCAGAUCUGGCCUCCACGAGAUGGCACGAACGCUCCGAUAACUAUGCAACAUGAACAAGCAAACAUACAAACAAGCAAGUAUACCAACAAAUAUUUAGUAUAGUGGUCAGAAUAGUGAUAUAUGGAUGGGUAGAGUCUUGAGUAGAAUCUGUGUCAUGUGGUGUUGUGAUAUUACUGGUGGUGGAGCGGAGGUGCUUACCAGGAGGGUGGACUGGAGGCGAAGCGACACUAUGUGUGUAGCCGGCAGAGCAGAGUAACUGAGUGGGUGGGGUGUUUGCCUUGGCUAAGGGUGUUGAGUGUGUGAGGAGAGGGAGAGGGUAGCUGGGUGUAUUUAUAGCUGGGUGUAUGUGGUGUAGCACAGUGAAGUUCACUGUUGGUGAGAAUAGUGACGAAUGAAUCGUCUGACUUAGUAUGAAUAGGAGAGUUAUAGGCAGAAUAUGGGACAAGAGUAUUUUGGGGGUUUUCUGGAAUAUGGACCAUGCUUAAGGGAUGACAUGGUUGGAUAGGGAAUAGUUUGAUAAGAAUUUAGAAACGAGAAUUAUUGGAAUCUGAGUUUGGGAGCCUGGUUCGAAGGAAUCUCAAAGUUAAGCGUGCUCAACUUGGAGAAACCUAGGAUGGGUGACUAGAUGGAAAGUUCCCUACUGGAAGGAAAAUCACAGUCACCGGAGUUCGUAUGACUGGAAUAUGGGUCUAGCUGGUCUUAGGUGGACUGGACAACAUGAUGUAUGAGUAGUUGAAAUUUGGGAUAACUAGAUGACCGAUGAAUAGUAACGAUGAUUAGUAACGAUGAAUAGUGGCGACGGAAAAGUAAUUAUAGAUAUCAUCGAUGAAUAGUAACGAUGAUGAAUAGUAACGGUAAAUAGUAACGAUGAUAAAUAGUGUAUGUGAAUAGUAACGAUGAAUAGUAACGGUGAAUAGUAAUGGUGAAUAGUUCGUAUGAACGAACGAUGAACGAUGAAUAGGAACUAUGAACGAACGGACGAACGAUCGAAUGAUUGGACGAACGAACGAUCGGAAUUUCAGCAGCAUAACGGCAGGAAAAGAUUAUUUGGACGAACGGACGGACGAACGAUCGAAUGAUCGGACGAACGAACGAUCGGAAUUUCGGCAGCAUAACGGCAGGACAAAGAUUAUCUGGAAGAACGAUGAAUAGGGACUAUGAACGAAUGAUGAACGAUGAAUAGGGAACUAUGAACGAACGAUGAACGAUCGAAUGAUCGAACGAACGAACGAUCGAAAUUUCGGCAGCAUAACGGCAGGACAAAGAUUAUCUGGAAGAACGAUGAAUAGGGACUAUGAACGAACGAUGAACGAUCGAAUGAUCGAACAAACGAACGAUCGGAAUUUCGGCAGCAUAACAACAGGAAAAAGAUUAUUUGGACGAACGAAUGGACGAACGAUCGAACGAUCGGACGAACGGACGAACGAACCAUGAACGAUCGGACGAACGAUCGAACGAUCGGACGAACAAACGAACAAACUAAGAACAGGGGGACGAACGAUCGAACGAUCCUUGUGCUAGUGUGUGCUUGUGUGGAACAUGGAGUGGGUGUGUGUGGGGGGGGAAGAGAGUUGCCAUGAAAUGGCUUGGGGUGGGAAGAGAGGAGGCCCUUGCCCCUCUAUUUAUAGCCAUGGUGGGGGAUUAGGGGGAGGGAUGAGAGGAUUAGUGGGAGGAUGAGAGGAUUAGUGGGAGGUUAGCAUGUAUUUGUCUUGUAUAAGUGUAAUUAGCUUGUAGAGCUCACCGUAUGACACUGGAGGCAUACGUAUACGUAUGAGCAUGAGAAAAGUUAUGAAGAAAUAUUUGUAGGGACUUGAAAAAUGAUUAUAAAGGUAUUUCUUAGGAAGAAAAUACUUGGAGAUAUAUUGGUGGAAUAUCUAGGCAAUAUUUCUGGAAAGGACUUGAGGGGGAUUACUGGGAAAUAUCUGGGCAUUAUUUCUGGAAAGAAUUUGAGGGGGGUUACUAAGGAAAUAUUUGUAGGAUAUUUUGAGGAGGAUUUUGGAGAGAAUAUAGACUACUAUAUUUUAUUUGCUGAUAUCAACUCGCAAACAAACAUUUUGAAAUGAAAUUUGAAAUUCAUUUUGAAUUUAGAGCGAGUUUGAGAAAAUUUCAGGAUUUGAACUUUUGGGAUGCUACAAAUCUACCCCACUUAAAAUGAAUCUCGUCCUCGAGAUUUGGCUUAGAAGGGUUAUGGGUAUAGCUUUACUUCAGCUACAUAUCUUCACUUUGCAAACUCUUCGAGGAGAUAGAGCUUCAACAAAAUCUGGCCUUUGAGGGGCAUCCGGUUGCUGAUUGCAAACGCUGGUUCUGGCUACUCAAGAUCAUCUUCAGGCUUCUAGGUUUCGCUUGGCAGCUAGCUUAUUGAAGAAGCAUCAAUGCCAACACGCAAACCUUUCUCUUGCGAACUUCCACAUGGAUUCCUUCCUUGAUUGGUCUUCUGGUGCUUCGUCAACAAAACUUGGGUGACCACUUCUCAUCCAGAAACUUAUAUGCUUGGACGAUCGGGUCCUCCACAAGCUUGCUACAUGCCUUCUUCUUUUUCUCCAUAACAGGAACCUUACUGGAACACUACCCCACUUAAAAAGAAUGAGGGUAGAACUCUUGAAUCUUGGGGAUUUGAACUCCUUGAAGUACCACAUAACAAGGGUGUUACGGGUCCUUCUGCUGCUGUUGCUGCUUGACCAGGCUGCGGAGAGAUGACUGACACAAGGUUGAUUCUGGGACAACCUUCUUCUCAUCUUCUCUUCACUAUCUUCUUUUCACUGACCCUUUCUUUCUCUUUGCUCUUCCCACUAGAGGAUUCUAUCAAAGAGUAUUACCAUCAUACAGAGGAGGAAACCGAAGAUGUUGAACCAUAUACAACAGUCUUCAACCCAAGAAUCACCAAGCAUUGUGAUCUUAGGGGCGAGGGAGUGGAAAAUGGAGUUGCUUGUGAAUUGGCAGAGGGGAUUUAUCUAGAGUGUGCUUUGCUUUGAGCUACGUGGGGAUUGAGGGAGCUGGUGGGGGGUUUUAUAGGCGAGUGGUAUGCGAGGUGGUGCUCGGGUGCGGAGUGGCAGUGACGGAGCAGAUGACACGAGGCAGCAGGUGCGAUGGGGGGGAAUGGUGUUUCUGGCGGUAAUGGCGGUGGGUGCGCUGCAAAAAGGGGGGUGGGCGGCAGUAGUGCGCUGCAAAGGGGUGUGGGGGCGGUGGUAGUGCACAUGGAGGCGGGGCACGUAUGCGGGGGGGCAUGGGUGAGUGGUGGGGUCGAUGACCCUGAUGUUUGUGGUCUCUGGUUCCAAGAAUCUUUACCUCUCUGUAUGGUAAUAACUCCUUAUGUCCUCUUUUUCUGUUUACUUUGACUCAGGGGCAGUGCUUUGAUUCUCACGGUCGGUCCUUUUGACUGAGCGGCUGGACUGGUUUCUUCUGUAGCUUGUCCCAGGCUUCAAGGGUAAGCUUCCCGGUAUCUUCUUGGGUAAAGCACUUUUCUCUUGAGAUGGGUUAAGAUGAGAAUAGAAGCAUAAGGUGAGGAUUAGAUCUAAUUUGUGAUUUAAGUUUUUAGAGAAAACCAUUUUAAGAAAAACGAAAAGAAAACACACAAGCUCAGCAAUGAUAAGCACAAACAAAUCAAAUGUUUUGAAUAAGGGAAGAAUAGAGUUUUUCCAAAGCACGGACUACUCAGAUUCGGGGGCUAAGCAUAACUACUAUUGCUUGGCUCCUGAAUUGAGAACUAUAUUAAAUGCAACUUAUGAGCACUAACGUUAAAGCAUCACAUAUGCACUCAAAAGGGAGGAAAACAUCAAGCGAAAUUCAUUUUGAAAUGCCCUAGGGGGCCACACAAAUAGAGUUUUUCAAAGCACGGGACUACACGAUUACCUCUCAUACAUGCAGGGCUCUAGCCAAAGUGAAGAGAAACUUCACUACCCAAUGCAUGCAGAGGACUGGGCAUAACUAACUUCAGAUCUGGCAGCUUCUCUUCUGGCAAGGUUGGCACACAACUUCAAUCUGAGACAUCUCCUGGAUGGGUCAAGAGGGAGCUGAUGUUGAUGACUUCUUCUGGCGGCGACUGAGAUGGCAACACGGGGUUGAACUCUUCUUCAAGCUGGACUGGCUCUUGUAGCUCCUCAGAGGGCGGUGGUGCUGGCGGGGUGCUUGCAGCUUCUUCCUUGACCUCAAGGGAUGGUGCUGGAAUCUUCUUCAUGGUGAGGGGCUCACACAACUCCGGCGGGGGAUCUUGGGAGGAUUCAGGGUGCUCUUGCUUAUCCAUAGCCUGAGGGAAGACUGGAAUUCCUUCCAAGACUAUGGCUCCUUCCGGGAGUUCCCAAGCCUUCUUCUCUCCUUUGAUAGAGACCGGGUGACCUUCAAGAAUUUGGGGAUCUUCAGCUCUCAUGGGUUGGACUGGGUUGGAUGAAGCGGGUUCUUGGAUCCGCAGGGCUUUACGUUGGUUAUGGGUGACCAAGUAGGCCUCCAUCAACUUCUGGACGUGCUCAUCCUUGGCUUGCUUCAGGGCUUCAACAGCAAUGACUUCACGACUCUCCAAGGCAGUUGCACGGGCUUGAGUUGUGGUGAGAUUCACAUGGAGCUGACGGUUGCUCUUCUCUGCAUCUUCUGCUCGGGCAAUCAUCUGACGGUGGUGCCGAGCCAAGAAAUCAUAUUGUGCAUCAAGGGUGAGCAGGUAUGCAGUGAGGUACACGACUGUGGGGUCGUCCUCAAGCAGCUGUUGCUCUUCCAAUGCACGCAUCCUGGACAUCCAAGCAGGACGGUCUCUCUGAAAGGGUGGAAAGAAUCUGAGCGGUGUGUCGGCCACUUCUUCUUCAUAGAUCUGACAUAGGGUCCUCAAUGCCUUGCGGGCGACGACUUGGCAGGUGUCUUUGAAUCUGUGCCCAGCAGCAGUGACACUCCAUUCCACAUGGUAUGGACUGGACCCAAUGUAUACAGUCACGACACACUUCUCUGUGCCAUGCUCGAUGAAUUCACAACCAUCAUACUCUGGCUGGCUCCUGAUUCCGAGGCGGACUGUGCAUGCUCUCAGCAACUUGGGGAAACCAUCUUCAUUCUGGCAGAAGCUGGUUUGGCACUAAACCUCCAUCUGACUUCUGAGAGAAGGAAAGGGGGAAAACAUUUUUGAAAUGAAGGGAUGAGAGCAAGAUUUUUUUAAGAAAAUAGUUUGGACUCAAAAACUUUUGGAUCAGGCUAAGGGUUACGUCCUGCGGCCAACCUAACAGCUCUGAUACCACCUGAAGCGUCCCCAAUCCUCUGGGACUCAAAUGUGAUACAAUUACUAGUCCCAGGAGGCUAGUAAACACAUUUAUACAUCAGAUGAUACCAAAUCUGCUUAAACGAGACAAACCUACAAAGGUGGCGAACAACUUUAAGAGUUGGUCCACAACUCGGGACAUAUCAUCAGAGUGGGGCUGAAGCAGCCCGAUAUACGCAGCGAAGCAAUUCAGCGGUCCAACAGCCACAAGCAAGGUUGGGAACAGUCGUAACUCUUACCCGAUCUCCUUUUUCUGAAAAACAACAAAUAAGCAAGGGUGAGUACAAACGUACUCAGCAGCCCACCUUCACCCGCGAAAUGGGGAAAUCAGAUAUAAUGCAUGGAAUAUGUGGAGCUCAAGAUAUUUUGCAGAAACAGCAAUAGUUUAUGCAGAGUUGUUUUGAAAAACAUUUUGUAUUUUUUGCAAAGCGCAUCCCCUCCAAAAGGAGCAGGAAGUUUUUCAGUAUUAUAACAAAAUCCCCUGGACUAAACCAUCCAGGUAUCUCAGCAGUUUCCCACUGGUUUUUCCUUUUUCAAAAACAGCUACUGGACUUCCCGUCCACCAUAGCUCACGGCUCAACCGCCGAACCUUUUAAAAACCACUUUUCUCAAACGCACCCUUUUUUUGAAAAACAAAACAUUAAUUGCCAUACCAUACCAGACUCGUCCAUUCCUGUGGACACAGACUAUUCGAAUAGGUUUUCAAACUCUGCGCAGAGGUGUACACUUUACCCACUAGUCUGGCUCUGCGAUCCCAUGAUCAAUGAGACCCGAAUCCGACUCUCUUUCUUUCCCCGCACGUCCUAACCUUAACGGUUAUCCGGAAGGAGUCAGGCCACCACCAUGUCCAAACCGGACAAAACUUUCCCCCUCCUUAUCCUCCCGGUGCUCCCCAGCCUUCAUAACCCUGGGGUUGGGCCGUAUGAGUUCAGAUUGAGUGACUGCCCACACAGUCUCGAGUGGUUGUACUUAUCAUGAGUACAAGUAGUGAAAGAUGACAAACCGGUCCUUAUACGAGGGGACAAUCCUUCUGCUCACGCCUAAACCAGCUGAGCCAUCACCUUAGGCCCUCCCCUAAACCAGGGAGUCCCUGAUUAUCCCUACUCAAAGGUGAUAAGGGUGAAAACCCUUCAUCAUACACAUUUUGAAAAACAUUUUCUUUUGAAAACUCACACCUUUCCUCAAAUCAUUUGUAACAAAUAUAUCAGGGAUUGAUUGCGGCAAGCGGCUGGGUGGCCAUAAUAACUUGUCUUAAAAUCAUAUCAUGCAUAAAAUAACAGGCUGAGGGUUGUGGUUGUAAAACAUAGGUAAUUUAUGCAUCAAAGGGAUCCAGUGAGCUUGUCGUGCUUAUUCGGCGAAGGGGGAAGGGGAGCUCGCGGAACUGGCUUCUGGCUCCACCGCCUGGCGUAGACUUGCAGAUCUGGCCUCCACGAGAUGGCACGAACGCUCCGAUAACUAUGCAACAUGAACAAGCAAACAUACAAACAAGCAAGUAUACCAACAAAUAUUUAGUAUAGUGGUCAGAAUAGUGAUAUAUGGAUGGGUAGAGUCUUGAGUAGAAUCUGUGUCAUGUGGUGUUGUGAUAUUACUGGUGGUGGAGCGGAGGUGCUUACCAGGAGGGUGGACUGGAGGCGAAGCGACACUAUGUGUGUAGCCGGCAGAGCAGAGUAACUGAGUGGGUGGGGUGUUUGCCUUGGCUAAGGGUGUUGAGUGUGUGAGGAGAGGGAGAGGGUAGCUGGGUGUAUUUAUAGCUGGGUGUAUGUGGUGUAGCACAGUGAAGUUCACUGUUGGUGAGAAUAGUGACGAAUGAAUCGUCUGACUUAGUAUGAAUAGGAGAGUUAUAGGCAGAAUAUGGGACAAGAGUAUUUUGGGGGUUUUCUGGAAUAUGGACCAUGCUUAAGGGAUGACAUGGUUGGAUAGGGAAUAGUUUGAUAAGAAUUUAGAAACGAGAAUUAUUGGAAUCUGAGUUUGGGAGCCUGGUUCGAAGGAAUCUCAAAGUUAAGCGUGCUCAACUUGGAGAAACCUAGGAUGGGUGACUAGAUGGAAAGUUCCCUACUGGAAGGAAAAUCACAGUCACCGGAGUUCGUAUGACUGGAAUAUGGGUCUAGCUGGUCUUAGGUGGACUGGACAACAUGAUGUAUGAGUAGUUGAAAUUUGGGAUAACUAGAUGACCGAUGAAUAGUAACGAUGAUUAGUAACGAUGAAUAGUGGCGACGGAAAAGUAAUUAUAGAUAUCAUCGAUGAAUAGUAACGAUGAUGAAUAGUAACGGUAAAUAGUAACGAUGAUAAAUAGUGUAUGUGAAUAGUAACGAUGAAUAGUAACGGUGAAUAGUAAUGGUGAAUAGUUCGUAUGAACGAACGAUGAACGAUGAAUAGGAACUAUGAACGAACGGACGAACGAUCGAAUGAUUGGACGAACGAACGAUCGGAAUUUCAGCAGCAUAACGGCAGGAAAAGAUUAUUUGGACGAACGGACGGACGAACGAUCGAAUGAUCGGACGAACGAACGAUCGGAAUUUCGGCAGCAUAACGGCAGGACAAAGAUUAUCUGGAAGAACGAUGAAUAGGGACUAUGAACGAAUGAUGAACGAUGAAUAGGGAACUAUGAACGAACGAUGAACGAUCGAAUGAUCGAACGAACGAACGAUCGAAAUUUCGGCAGCAUAACGGCAGGACAAAGAUUAUCUGGAAGAACGAUGAAUAGGGACUAUGAACGAACGAUGAACGAUCGAAUGAUCGAACAAACGAACGAUCGGAAUUUCGGCAGCAUAACAACAGGAAAAAGAUUAUUUGGACGAACGAAUGGACGAACGAUCGAACGAUCGGACGAACGGACGAACGAACCAUGAACGAUCGGACGAACGAUCGAACGAUCGGACGAACAAACGAACAAACUAAGAACAGGGGGACGAACGAUCGAACGAUCCUUGUGCUAGUGUGUGCUUGUGUGGAACAUGGAGUGGGUGUGUGUGGGGGGGGAAGAGAGUUGCCAUGAAAUGGCUUGGGGUGGGAAGAGAGGAGGCCCUUGCCCCUCUAUUUAUAGCCAUGGUGGGGGGAUUAGGGGGAGGGAUGAGAGGAUUAGUGGGAGGAUGAGAGGAUUAGUGGGAGGUUAGCAUGUAUUUGUCUUGUAUAAGUGUAAUUAGCUUGUAGAGCUCACCGUAUGACACUGGAGGCAUACGUAUACGUAUGAGCACGAGAAAAGUUAUGAAGAAAUAUUUGUAGGGACUUGAAAAAUGAUUAUAAAGGUAUUUCUUAGGAAGAAAAUACUUGGAGAUAUAUUGGUGGAAUAUCUAGGCAAUAUUUUUGGAAAGGACUUGAGGGGGAUUACUGGGAAAUAUCUGGGCAGUAUUUCUGGAAAGAAUUUGAGGGGGUUACUGAGGAAAUAUUUGUAGGAUAUUUUGAGGAGGAUUUUGGAGAGAAUAUAGACCACUAUAUUUUAUUUGCUGAUAUCAACUCGCAAACAAACAUUUUGAAAUGAAAUUUGAAAUUCAUUUUGAAUUUAGAGCGAGUUUGAGAAAAUUUCAGGAUUUGAAUUUUUGGGAUGCUACAGUAACAGAAUUGUCUGUGCGAGCGAGAGUUGCUUUUCACGGAAGGUGACGAGUGAGGUAUCCGUAUCCCGGAGGCGUAGGAAUCCCUCGGCUCGGUCGGCCUUGCCGCUUACGCGUGCUCUUGCCCGUCCAUGGGGUUCUGUCACCAGCGUAGUCGAGAAAGCCCGAAGAAUCGCUUCGGCAGAAGAUUUCGAUCAUGAAGACUUGUUCGGUCCGCGGAAUCACUUAUCUGAACGCGAGUUACUUAUCGCAGAAGGUGAUGAGUGAGGUAUCCGUAUCCCGGAGGCGUAGGAGUCCCUCGGCUCGGUCAGCCUUGGCUGCUUACGUGUACUCCGUCGUUUUCAGGAUCCACUUUCGAAGCAGUCGAAAAGCACGAAAGACAUUCUGGCAGAAAACAUCUUUUUUCGAGGAAAAUUUCGACGUAGAGGGGGUUCCCCCCUUUUAGCCCCCGAGGGAGGGUCGGGCUUUGCCGAGGCAAGGCUGACCCUUCCUUGAUGACUAAACUUUGCGUGGGAGCGAGGUAUAUGAACAACUUGAAAGCAUCUUAUGGGUAGAAGCGACGUAGCUGUUGGAUGUUCCAAGCGUUGCUGUAGACCUCGCCUUGACUGUUGGCCAGCUUGUACGUUUCGGGCUUCAGAACUUUGGCGAUGACGAAUGGCCCUUCCUAGGGAGGCGUGAGCUUGUGCCGCCCUCGGGCGUCCUGUCGCAGCCGAAGCACCAGGUCGCCCACCUGGAGGUCUCGGGACCGGACCCCUCGGGCGUGGUAGCGUCGCAGGGACUGCUGGUACCGCGCCGAGUGUAGUAAGGCCAUGUCCCGAGCCUCUUCCAGCUGGUCUAGCGAGUCUUCUCGACUAGCUUGGUUGCUUUGGUCGGCGUAGGCCCUCGUCCUCGGGGAACCGUAUUCUAAGUCUGUGGGCAAGAUGGCCUCGGCCCCAUAGACUAGAAAGAACGGCGUGAAGCCCGUGGCUCGGCUCGGCGUUGUCCUCAGGCUCCAGACCACCGAGGGGAGUUCCUUCAUCCAUCGCUUGCCGAACUUGUUGACGUCUUUGUAGAUCCGAGGCUUGAGCCCUAGUAGAAUCAUGCCGUUGGCACGCUCUACUUGCCCAUUCGUCAUGGGGUGAGCCACGGCGGCCCAGUCCACCCGGAUGUGGUGAUCCUCGCAGAAGUCCAGGAACUUUCUGUCGGUGAACUGGGUGCCGUUGUCGGUGAUGAUGGAGUUCGGGACUCCAAAACGAUGGAUGAUGUUGGUGAAGAACGCCACCGCCUGUUCGGGCCUGAUGCUGUUUAGGGGUCGGACCUCGAUCCACUUGGAGAAUUUGUCGAUGGCGACCAAUAGGUGCGUGUAGCCCCCGGGUGCCUUCUGCAAGGAGCCGACGAGGUCUAGACCCCACACAGCAAAAGGCCAGGUGAUGGGUAUCGUCUGCAGGGCCUGAGCAGGCAGGUGGGUCUGCCUUGCGUAGAACUGACACCCUUCGCAGGUGCGGACAAUUCUAGUGGCGUCGGCCACCGCCGUUGGCCAGUAGAAACCUUGUCGGAAGGCGUUUCCAACAAGGGCCCGAGGUGCUGCGUGAUGGCCGCAAGCCCCCGAGUGUAUCUCUUGUAGGAGCUCCUGACCUUCGGCGAUGGAAAUGCAUCGCUAGAGGAUGCCUGAGGGGCUGCGGUGGUAGAGCUCCUUCCCAUCUCCCAGCAAGACGAACGACUUGGCACGCCGCGCCAACCGCCGAGCUUCGACUCGGUCGAGGGGUAGCUCUCCUUGGUGGAGAUAUUGCAGGUACGGGUUCUGCCAGUUUCGAUUAGGCGUGACCCCGCUUCGCUCCUCCUCGACGCGCAGUGCCUCACCUUCGGGGGCCGAGGGUACCUCGGGCUGAACCGAGGGUGCCUCAGGCCGAGCUGAGGGUGCCUCGGGUUGAGCCGAGGGUGCCUCGGACUGAGCCGAGGGUACCUCGGGCUCGGACGUGUUGUCGAUCUUGACGGAGGGUUGAUGCAGGUCUCGGGAGAAGACGUCCGGGGGAACCGUUGUUCGCCCCGAGGCUAUUUUAGCCAGCUCGUCUGCAGUCUCGUUGUAGCGCCGGGCGAUGUGGUUGAGCUCGAGCCUGUAGAACUUGUCUUCCAGGCGCCGAACCUCAUCGCAGUAGGCCUCCACCUUUGGGUCGCGACAGUGGGAGUUCUUCAUGACUUGGUCGAUGACGAGCUGCGAGUCACCGCGAGCGUCGAGGCGUCGGACCCCUAGCUCGAUGGCGAUCCGCAACCCGUUGACCAGAGCCUCGAACUCAGCCACAUUGUUGGACGCCGGGAAAUGGAGGCGUAGCACGUAGCGUAGGUGCUUCCCGAGGGGCGAGAUGAAGAGUAGGCCUGCGCCAGCUCCUGUCUUCAUCAGCGACCCGUCGAAGAACAUGGUCCAGAGUUCUGGCUGGAUCGGAACUAUUGGGAGCUGGGUGUCGACCCAUUCAGCCACGAGGUCCGCCAAGACCUGGGACUUGAUGGCCUUCCGAGGGGCGAACGAGAUUGUUUCGCCCAUGAUUUCCACCACCCACUUCGCGAUUCUACCCGAGGCCUCUCGGCACUGGAUGAUCUCCCCCAGGGGGAAGGAUGACACCACAGUUACCGGGUGAGACUCGAAGUAGUGUCGCAACUUCCGCCGCGUCAGGAUCACCGCGUACAGCAGCUUCUGAACUUGUGGGUAGCGGAUUUUGGUCUCGGACAGUACCUCGCUGAUGAAGUAGACUGGCCUCUGGACGGGCAAUGCAUGCCCCUCUUCUCGUCUCUCGACCACAAUUGCGGCGCUAACCACCUGAGUGGUCGCGACGACGUAGAUCAAGAGGGCUUCUCCGGCAGCGGAAGGCACCAAGACGGGCGCGUUGGUGAGGAGCGCCUUCAGGUUCCCGAGGGCUUCCUCGGCCUCAGGGGUCCAAGUGAAGCACUCGGCCUUCCUUAAGAGGCAGUACAGAGGCAGGCCUCUUUCGCCGAGGCGUGAGAUGAAACGGCUCAGAGCCGCAAGACAUCCCAUGACUCUCUGUACGCCUUUCAAGUCCUUAAUGGGCCCCAUGCUGGUGAUGGCUGCGAUCUUCUCCGGGUUGGCUUCGAUGCCCCGCUCGGAGACGAUGAACACCAAGAGCAUGCCUCGGGGAACCCCAAAGACACACUUCUCGGGAUUAAGCUUCACUCCUUUCGCCUUGAGACAUCGGAAUGUCACUUCAAGGUCGGAAAGGAGGUUGGAGGCUUUCCUCGUAUUGACUACAAUGUCAUCGACGUAGGCCUCGACCGUCCGGCCAAUGUGUUCGCCGAACACAUGGUUCAUGCACCGCUGGUACGUCGCACCCGCAUUCCUCAAGCCGAACGGCAUGGUGACAUAGCAGUACAUGCCGAAGGGUGUGAUGAAAGAAGUCGCGAGCUGGUCGGACUCUUUCAUCCUGAUUUGGUGAUACCCUGAGUAGGCAUCGAGGAAAGACAGGGUUUCGCACCCAGCAGUGGAAUCCACGAUUUGAUCGAUGCGAGGCAGAGGGUAGGGAACCUUCGGACAUGCUUUGUUUAGACCAGUGUAGUCUACACACAUCCGCCAUUUCCCUCCUUUCUUUCUCACAAACACAGGGUUGGCAAGCCAUUCGGGAUGGAAUACCUCUUUGAUGAACCCUGUCGCCAUUAGCUUGUGGAUCUCCUCGCCAAUGGCUCUGCGCUUUUCUUCAUCGAAUCGGCGCAGAGGCUGCUUCACGGGUCGAGCUCCAGCUCGGAUAUCCAGCGAGUGCUCGGCGACAUCCCUCGGUAUGCCGGGCAUGUCCGAGGGACUCCACGCGAAAACGUCAGCGUUUGCGCGGAGAAAGUCGACGAGCACUGCUUCCUAUUUGGGAUUGAGCUCGGAGCCGAUCCGGAUCUGCUUGGAGGCGUCGCUGCUGGGGUCGAGGGGGACGGACUUAACCGUCUCCACUUGCUCGAAGUUGCCGGCGUGGCGCUUCACGUCUGGCACCUCCUUAGAGAGGCUUUCCAGGUCGGCGAUGAGGGCCUCGGAUUCGGCGAGGGCCUCGGCGUACUCCACGCACUCCACGUCGCAUUCGAACACGUGUUUGUACGUGGGGCCGACAGUGAUGACCCCGUUGCGGCCCGACAUCUUGAGCUUGAGGUAGGUGUAGUUGGGGACGACCAUGAACUUCGCGUAGCAUGGCCUCCCCAGUACUGCGUGGUAGGUUCCUCGGAACCCGACCACCUCGAACGGGAGGGUCUCCCUUCGGAAGUUGGAGGGCGUUCCGAAGCAGACGGGAAGGUCGAGUUGUCCGAGGGGCUGGACGCGCUUCCCAGGGAUGAUCCCGUGGAAAGGCGCAGCGCCUGCCCGGACCGAGGACAGAUCAACACGCAGGAGCCCGAGGGUCUCGGCGUAGAUGAUGUUGAGGCUGCUGCCUCCGUCCAUGAGGACCUUGGUGAGCCUGACGUCGCCGAUGACGGGGUCGACAACGAGCGGGUAUUUCCCCGGGCUCGGCACGUGGUCGGGGUGGUCGGCUUGGUCAAAGGUGAUGGGCUUGUCGGACCAGUCUAGGUAGACUGGCGCCGCCACCUUCACCGAACAGACCUCCCGACGCUCUUGCUUGCGGUGUCGAGCCGAGGCGUUCGCCGCUUGCCCACCGUAGAUCAUGAAGCAGUCGCGGACCCCGGGGAACUCUCCUGCCUGGUGAUCUUCCUUCUUGUCGUCGUCGCGAGCCCUGCCACCCUCCGCGGGUGGCCCGACCCUGUGGAAGUGGCGCCGAAGCAUAGCGCACUCCUCAAGGGUGUGCUUGACGGGCCCCUGAUGAUAGGGGCACGGCUCCUUGAGCAUCUUGUCGAAAAGGUUGGCACCUCCGGGGGGUUUCCGAGGGUUCUUGUACUCGGCGGCGGCGACAAGGUCGCGGCAAGUGGUGCCGGCGAGGAACGCGCCGAUGACAUCUGAAUCGGUGAUGUUGGGCAGCUCGGUGCGCUGCUUCGAGAAUCGCCGGAUGUAGUCCCAGAGAGACUCUCCCGGCUGCUGCCGGCAGCUUCGGAGGUCCCAGGAGUUUCCAGGGCGCACGUACGUGCCCUGGAAAUUGCCGGCGAAGGCUUGGACCAGGUCGUCCCAGUUGGAGAUCUGCCCCAGAGGCAGGUGCUCCAACCAGGUGCGAGCGGUGUCGGAGAGAAACAGUGGGAGGUUGCGGAUGAUGAGGUUGUCAUCGUCCGUCCCACCCAGUUGGUAGGCCAGCCGAUAGUCCGCGAGCCACAGUUCCGGUCUCGUCUCCCCCGAGUACUUUGUGAUAGUAGUCGGGGGUCAGAACCGGGUCAGGAAUGGCGCCCGUCGUAUGGCGCGGCUGAAAGCCUGCGGACCGGGUGGUUCGGGCGAGGGACUCCGAUCCUCCCCGCUGUCGUAGCGUCCCCCACGCCUGGGGUGGUAGCCUCGGCGCACCCUCUCGUCGAGGUGGGCCCGACGGUCGCGAUGAUGGUGCUCGUUGCCGAGGCGACCCGGGGCCGCAGGCGCUGUGUUGCGCGUGCGCCCGGUGUGGACCGAGGCUUCCCGCAUGAAUCGGGAAGUCGCGGCGCGAUGUUCCGAGGGGUACCCCUGCCUUCGGGAGGCGGAGCUUUCGGCCUGUCGGACCGCAGCGCCCUCCAGGAGAUUCUUGAGCUCUCCCUGGAUUCGCCGCCCCUCGGUGGUUGAUGGCUCUAGCAUCGCGCGGAGAAGCAUUGCUGCUGCAGCCAGGUUCUGGCCGACUCCACUGGAAGCGGGUGGCGGCCUUACCCUGACAUCGUCGGCGAUGCGGUGUUGGAUACCCUGGGGUAGAUGACACAUUUCUCCGGCCAGAGGUUGGCCCGCCCAUUCCUGCCCGACGUCCCGGCGGAUCGGCUCAAGUGCUCCUGCUCCCUCGUCGAGCCUGGCCGGCACCCCGCGGAUUUGCUCGAGCUGUGGGUCAUGACCCCCCGCUAGAACGGGGACCACAGCUAGCUCCCGUAGGAUGUCAACACGAGGCACAUGCCUAGGGAGAUCACCGUUCUCCAGCAUACCGAGAUGGUUGCCUUCAGAGGGACCCCCUAGAUCGACGUGGAAACAAUCACGACUUGGGCCAUAGUCCUCGUCGCCGAGGCUGCGGCUACCGUCGGAACAGUCGGAAAGGCAGUAGUCGCAUGCGGUCAUGAAGUCCCGCAUGGCACUGGGGUUACCAAGUCCGGAGAAAUCCCAACAGAAGUCGGGCUCGUCAUCUUCCUAGGACCCCGAGGGCCCGUAGGUCGAGACGUCCGUCAGCCGGUCCUAGGGUGACCGCAUACGAUACCCCAGAGGGUUCGGACUCGCCUCUACGAGAGCGUCCACCAAAGCGAAGCCGCUUGGCGGGUCGAGGCUGAAUCCAAGGGGCUUGAGAUGGGAAUCGGUCGGUACCUCUUGGUCGACGGGCGGUGAGGAAGUCACGUCAGGGACUGACUGCACCGUCGUCUCAGGUACGAGGGUGACACCUAGCAAGCCUUUCGCAAGCGUGCUGGCAUCGUCUGUUUGCUUGGAAUUGGCGUGUUGCGGGAAUACGACGCUCGUCUUCGUCUCAAACGCGAGGUCGAUGCUCGACGCGCCCCCCGUUGGGGCACCGGCGCCGUGGACUCGCUCGACAGCCGACGAGGUGCCGCCUCCUACUUGGCCUUGGUUGCCCCCCUCCUCCUCCGUCGGCGGGGGAGAGGGCGGGGUGAGCUCGAAUGUUGUUCUUCCACCACGCGGGGAAGACGUCGUCGAUUCCGCCGCCGGCGGGCGGGCUGUCGGCCGCCAUUGUCGCUGUCGCACGGCGGGGGGAGGAGUAUCAUGUCGUAGCUGCCGUCGAGGGACAUGAACUCAAGACUCCCGAAACGGAGCACCGUCCCAGGCUGGAAAGGUUGCUGGAGACUGCCCAUCUGGAGCUUGAUGGGAAGCUGUUCGUCAACACGCAGCAGUCCCCCUACCUGGCGCGCCAACUGUCGGCGUUUCGAGACCGGGGGUCCCUGGGCCGACGAGUGAAAUGUCCCCGCGUGCCCCAGCCCAGAUGGGUCGGCGCGAGACGGAGCACGAAGGGGGGAAGAAGGCAGCCGGAGCGAGAGAGAGAGAGGAAGAGGUGGAAAUCCCGCGACCUUCGUGUUUGUCCCGCGCCCAGGUCGGGUGCGCUUGCAGUAGGGGGUUACAAGCAUCCACGCGGUAGGGGGAGCGAGCGGCCUCACGCGAGCGCCUGUCCCGUCCUCUUCCCCGCGCGGCCAACCCCCUGUAAGAGGGCCCUGGUCCUUCCUUUUAUAAGCGCAAGGAGAGGAUCCAAGUGUACAAUGGGGGUGUAGCAGAGUGCUAACGUGUCUAGCGGAGGAGAGCUAGCGCCCUAAGUACAUGCCAUCGUGGCAGCCGGAGAGGUUUUGGCACCCGGUUCGUGUGGUGUCGUGGCCGUCGGAGGAGCGCUGGAGCCUGGCGGAAGGACAGUUGUCGGGGCUGUCGAGUCCCUGCUGACGUCCUCUUGCUUCCAUAAGGGGGCUGAGAGCCGCCGUCGUCAUAGAGCGUGCGGGGUGCCAUCAUUACUUGUCUGGCGGAGCGAGCCAGAUGGGACGCCGGUCUUGUUCCCCGUAGCCUGAGUCAGUUUGGGGUAGGGUAAUGAUGGCGCCUCCUGUUGACGUGGUCGGUCUGUGCCCUAAGUUGGGCGAUGUGGAGGCUCCUCCGAGGUCGAGGUCGAGUCUGUCUUCCGAGGCCGAGGUCGAGUCCGAGCCCCUGGGUCGGGCGAGGCGGAGACCGUCGGCGGAGGCCAGGGCUGAGUCCGAGCCCUGGGGUCGGGCGAAGCGGAGUUCGUCGUCUUCAGGGGCUGAGCCCGAGUCCGAGCCCUGGGGUCAGGCGGAGCGGAGUUCGCGUCUUCCGGGGCCGAGUCCGAGUCCGAGCCCUAGGGUCGGGCGGAGCGGAGUUCGCCGUCUUCCGGGGCCGAGCCCGAGUCCGAGCCCUGGGUUGGGCGGAGCGGAGUUCGCCGUCUUCCGGGGCUGAGCCCGAGUCCGAGCCCUUGGCCAGGCGGAGCGGAGUUCGCCGUCUUCUAGGGCCGAGCCCGAGUCCGAGCCCUGGGUCGGGCGGAGCGGAGUUCGCCGUCUUCCGGGGCUGAGCCCGAGUCCGAGCCUUGGGUCGGGCGGAGCGGAGUUUCCUAUGGUGCCUGAGGCCGGGCCUGACUGCCUGUCAGCCUCACUCUGUCGAGCGGCACAGCAGUCGGAGCGGCGCAGGCGGCGCUGUCCUUCUGUCAGGCCGAUCAGUGGAGCGGCGAAAUGACUGCGGUCACUUCGGCUCUGUCGACUGGAGGACGCGCGUCAGGAUAAAGGUGUCAGGCCACCUUUGCAUUAAAUGCCCCUGCGAUUUGGUCGGUUGGCAUGGCGAUUUGGCCAGGGUUGCUUCUUGGCGAAGACUGGGCCUCGGGCGAGCCGGAAGUAUGUUCGUCGCUGGAGGGGGGCCUCGGGCGAGACGGAGAUCCUCCGGGGUCGGCUGCCCUUGCCCGAGGCUAGGCUCGGGCGAGGCGUGAUCGAGUCCCUCGAAUGGACCGAUCCCUGACUUAGUCGCACCCAUCAGGCCUUUGUAGCUUUGUGCUGAUGGGGGUUACCAGCUGAGAAUUAGGAGUCUUGAGGGUACCCCUAAUUAUGGUCCCCGACAAACUUUGACCGGCUAUACUGGAUGUUUCGUAAUAUUUUACAACAUAAAAGUAAAGUUACGUAUUAUUGAGCUCCUAGAACAUAAAUAAGCACGAGGCUCGCGAGCCCGACAUGAAGCCCGCUGUUUGGGCCCGAUCCGAGCCUGGCACGACCCGGUUAUAUUUGGGCCCAGGCCGGUCCGGCACGAAUAAGCGGACUGGGCUUGGACAGAAAACUAGGCACGGUGGGCUAGCCCGGCACGGCCCGUUUACCUCUAAGCCCGUUAAACCCGCUUUUUUGCAUUAAAAUGUGCUUACUGGCCCGCUUAACCCGCUUUUUAACCAGUUUUUUCCGUUCUGGCCCGUUUAGACUCGCUGCGGGCCUGACUUAGACAGAAAAUUGAGUCUGUGGGCUUAGACGAUCCGGUCCGGUUUUCUAACCGUGCCUGGCGGGACGGGCCCAAAACGAGCCGGGCGGCCCGUUUGGCCAUCUCUACUUGGAGCCAGCGGCGGGAGACGCGUAGACGAGGAGCGCCGCGGUAGUAGGUGGAGGUGACGGUGCGGAAGCGCUCCUGGCCGGCGGUGUCCCAGAUCUGGGCCCUCACCUCCUUGCCGUCGAUGUGCGGCGUGCUCUGCGUUUGGAACUCCACCCCGAUGGUGGCCUUGGAGUGCGGGUCGAAUUCGUUGCGCGCGUACCGGGACAGCAGGUUGCUCUUCCCCAUCGUGCUCAGACCGAGGUUUUAGGGGUUCGGAGCAAAUUUAAAAUAGAGGUCCAUCAAACUAUUGUUAUAUAAAAAUGGUAUCAAUAUAUAAAGGAAGACACAUCUAAAAAUAUUUAUACCAAGUAACAAAUAAAUAAAAAAUAUAUAUUAUAGUAUUAUCUUAAAAGUUCUUUUAACAUGUUUAAAUACGACCGGGUUGUGAACGCUUCAUGGCUGCUAAUUAUUCGACAUUUCAUUAUUAAGCUAUUGUGUCUGAUAAUCUAAUUACUGAAUGUAUAAUUAAGUUCGGAGCCCUAUAUAAUUGGGGGCCCGGGGCGGCGGCCCCUCCGCCCCACCCUCAGGGCCGCCACUGACCGUGCUGGGGUAGUGGUGCCGUGGUGGGGUGGUGAGAGGUGCGAGAGCGAGACGAGUGGGAGGUCGCACGUCGCAGUUGCUGGUGCUGGUGGGUACAGAUGGCCAAACAUACCGCCCGACCCGGCCUGGCCUGUUUUGGGACCGGUCUAUCUAAGCCUGCGGGCUUGAUUUUCUAUUCGAACCCGGCCCGCAGCGGGACUAAACGGGUCAUAGGGGCCGCGGGGGCGUCGCGUUUCGUCCAUGGUUUAAGAAUUUUUUUUAGUAUAACUAAACAACAAGCACACACUUGUAGGUAGAGAUAAAUAGAACAGCUAGCGUUACAACCAGAAGUAGUAGUGGGUGUUCUCUUCUCUGCCGCGCUUAGCUUAUUCAUUCAGGACGAGCGGUUACGUUGCCCAUGCAUGCACAGCAACGCUUUCGAUGGCAUCUCCAAAAACCAAAAAUACAAAAUCAAGCGAUAUGGAAAUGCAUGCCGUACGUCGGCCGGCCGGCCGGCCGGCCUAUAGAUGGCAGACGCAUCUGUAGUGGUAGGCGCUGUUGAUGGGGUCGCUGGCGUCGAUGGGCACCUCCUGGACGCUGCACCUGUGCCGGCAGCCUCGGCACUCGUUGUAGGUGCACGUCGUCGGAGCCCUGGACCCGACCAGCUUCCUCCUCCCGCCGCCGACGCCGGUAAUAAUAGCCUGCUGCUGCUCCGUGUUCAACACCGGCCAACCAGCAGCUGCAGCAGUCGUCGUCAUCGGCGCUUCUUCUUCGCUGCCGGAUCUGCUUCUAAAUUCCUAUAUAUACGACAUGCAUUAUGUUUCGUCAUAUAUAUACAUCAAUACAUGCAUUUCAUCCAACAAGCUGGCUUUGAAGUUUGAGCAAGUGGAGCCGGCCGGCAUUAAUUACCAGCAGCUGCUCUGCCUGAAGGGCUGCUACUACUUCGUCGGUUCGCGGCGAGCCUGCUGUUGGAGCAUCAGCUACUACGGCACCAUCACCUGCUAACAAAAAAACGCGCGAAAACCAUUAUAUAUCGUCUGCUGGUUGGUCGACAAUAAUUGAAUUGACUGCUAUUUGGAGGCUGGAGACGACUGGAUCAGCCUGGAACUGGAGUAUACCAGUCGUCACCACUAGUAGUACAACCACGAGGAGUAGACGGCACGGCGCUACACAACAAUGCCUGCUUCCGUGUGCUGCUGCCAUCUUUCAUUCGUUUCUUUCAGGCUAUGGAGCCCUAUAUAGCUGCUAGCUCGACGCGGACUACCUAGUGGGGCGUUUAUAUACUACUAUAUAUAUACCGCGCGAGCAGAGAGUGACGGUAGAUAAAUACUUAAUAUAAUUUAUAAGCUAAAUUAUAUAUAAUAUAAUCUUGAAAGGAAAUAAAGAGCAGGCGAUUUUCAGAAUUUGAUGUAACAUUAACGACGGAGCAGCUGGGUAAUAAACAUCUAUCAUCUUUCAAGCUUUGGAGCCCUAUAGCUAGCUCGACGACGCGGACUAGCUAUAGUGAGGCGUUUAAAAGACACUCGGCAAAAUCAAUUGACAUUUGGCAAAGAAGCCGAAUUCCGAUAAUGAUAUUACCGUGCAGGCAGAGUGUGACAUUAAGUAAAUACUUAUACGCUACUUCCACACCAUUCCAAAAUAUAAUUCGUUUUAAACUAAUUGUAAAUUCAUUAAGUAACAUGUGAGUGUAGUUUGCAUGUAUGUAUAUAUUCAUCAUUAUUAUUUGAAUGAAUGUGAUAGAAAAAAUUUAAAGUGGGCUAAAAAGAACUGUAUAUUGUUUUAGAACGGAUGAAGUAGUUUAUAAGCUUAAUUAUAAUUAUAUAAUACUGAAAAGAAACAAAGAGCCCUUAUAUUACCCGUGUGGCCAGUGGCCAUCGAUCAUGCAUCCGGAUGUAGAUGGGGAGCGAAGCUGCUGGAGGGAGAAAAAGUAAACGGCCGCGGGCAUUACAUGCCUGCAUGCAUGCUGCAAUUAAUGUACGUAGCGGCAGACGUAUACCGGGCCAGGGCAUAUAGUGCACGGUUUGCACAUUCUAUGGUUCCAGCGGCUUCCGUAAAAUUAUAUAUUAAUUACCCGGGUCGCCCACAGUAGCUAGCUAGCUCCAUCAUGCAUGCAAUUACCUUCUAGGGACAUGGAUCAACACAUGCAAGAGUUUGAACGGCGCCCCGCUGCCGCUGUGUGUCCUCCACAGGUACGGACUACGGACACGGUGGCCGCCCCGCCCUGUUGAUCAACAGCAGCGUAAAAAUGAUCGGUCGGUCUAUCAUCAGAGUAUCAGUCGAUCAUGCGGCGCCCACACGUCGUCACGCUGCAUUGCCUGAACGUUUCACGAGGCUCCGGAAUCCGGAUCGCGCUCGGGCCCCGGGGCCGGCCGAAGAAGCUAGCCAAUAACGGGAAGGUUCUUCCAGCCUCCACGGCUCCACCGCCGCGCGCUGGCUGUACUCGUCUGCCCGGCCCGUCCGGCCAGAAUGCAUGGCCAGCGCCUGCCCAACGUACGGGUUCUCCACCAGAUUGACAGGUAGGGAUAAUAACUGAGAAUUCUCGUUUUUAUCACCUCAUCUGUCUUCGUGAUAAAAAAAGUUUUUCUAUGGGGAUCCCACGAAUGGUAAUCUCCGUUUAAAUUAUAAUUAUGCAGUAGUUCCUUUGUUGUUAACAUAAAACAUUGUUAAUUAUACACAUUGUUUGAUAUAAAAAAUCAUUACAUAAACAUUAAAAUGAAUACAUAUAUAUAUAUAUAUAUAACAAGAGAUCUUUUGAUAAGAUAAUUAAUUAUUUUUAUCAUAAGCUAUUACAUAAAAGCAUUGUUAUGUAUAAGUUCAACGGGUCCCAUACGGAAAACGGAACCGGAAUUCCCCUUACCUAUCCCGCCAUCCCGGUUUACUUUACUAUCUCUAUCCCAAAUCGAGGAUCGAGUCCAAUUACCAUCGGGGGUAUGAUCCCUGCGGCAUUCAUCAGGCUACAGAUUCAAUGUACAGGGCUACAUGCAGAUGCAGGGCAGCGAAGAAACAGUGCAGUGGCAGCGAAGUGUGCAGUGCGGUGGCAGUGCAGUGGCGACGACGAUCUGCGUGCGACUAGUAGCGUCCACGUCCAGCGUGCAGGGGCACCGGGCAUGGCAGGGGGUGGCCUGCGCGUGGCGUAGACCGUGUCCUGGCUGGCCGAUCCCACUGCGCUGUGUCACGGUAGCAUGCAUGCAGGCCUGUUCGUCCCGGUUCAACCGUACCGGGGGACAAGGACAAGCAGGAAAGGAAAGAUUCACUAACUAGACCAGGAUCAGGAUCAGGAUCAGGAUCAGGAAUCUGACACCCUAUGCUUCCUUCCGUCGCUCCUGAGUCCUGACCGUCUUGCUAGACCAGGUCCUGCAGGUAGCUAGCCGCGACAUCCGAAUACGGUGCGUGCUGGAUCUGGGCACGUUACGAUCAGGAUUCUGGAUUGCUCGUCUCAUUGGUGUAGAUAACGUGCUAGCUGCUCCGAGUAGAAACUUGAAAGAUGCCCAAAUGAAUCGGUCCGUUCGAUAAGCUCGUAACCCGGCAUAGUUCUAGUUCGGUCCAAACAUGACCCGUCACAUUGGGUAUCAGGUCCGUGCAGGUCCUGCCCGAUCAUGGGCCAUGUCUGAGCCUCAGGCGCGGCGAGGCUCGGUGCGACGGGCUCGACCCGGCCAACCCGGUUUUGUGUUUUCUCGUUUUUCAAUAGAAAUAUCUAUAGUACAUAUUGUUAUAAGGUAUAAAACACAAAAAAUAUAUGUGUCUUGUUGGUUAAAUGUGUGUAGAUAGGCUUUUAAAAGCCACAACCAUGCUUUAAAUUCUCAUUUUUACAUAUUUUUAGUCUUUUUUGCUAUUUAACUGUGAUGGGCUACCAUAGCCCUUUAGUCCAUAAACCCAGCCAGUACGAUAAACAGUCUAACAGAUCGUGCAUGUACCUCAUCCGUGGCUCACCAGCAUGCCUGUAAACUAAACCGGAUCGGGCCUGACUUAUUACCCCAAAUCGUGUCAGGUGUGCUGGGAGGUCUGUUUGGACAUCUAUCUAUAUAUACCGAGUGUUCAUCGGACGAGGCAUCGAUCUCCCUCUCACGUGUACUGUUCAUGUUCUAGGUUCACGAGUCAGUCGGUGCUCCGAUCCGAGGUGAAUAGCUGAUGCAGAAGCAUGCAUGCACAUCUCUCGCCCCGAACAGCACUAACGUACGGGGCCAUUCGAUCAGUCGAGCUUCACCAACCUUUUCAAUCUGCGUGCGACUAGUAGCUGAUGCACAAGCAUGCAUGCACAUCUCUCGCCCCGAACCACACUAACGUACGGGGCCAUGCAGUGGCAGCGAAGUGUGCAGUGCGGUGGCAGUGCAGUGGCGACGACGAUCUGCGUGCUGACUAGUAGUAGUGUAGUAGUAGCGUCCACGUCCAGCGUGCAGGUGCACGGCCGGCAGGGGGUGGCCUGGCGUGGCGUAGACCGUGUCCUGGCUGGCCGAUCCCACUGCGCUGUGUCACGGUAGCAUGCAUGCAGGCCUGUUCGUCCCGGUUCAACCGUACCGUGGGGGGACAAGCACAAGCAGGAAAGGAAAGAUUAACUAGACCAGGAUCAGGAUGCGGAAUCUGACACCCAACGCUUGCCUCUCCGGCCUCCGGCUCUACCCUCCGCUUGCUAGACCAGGUGUCCUGCAGCUACAGGGUAGGUAGUGUUAGGAUUUAUGGGCUAGGCCCAAUUGAGAAAUUCAAAUAAAUUCCAGGAAAAUCACAAAAGCCCAUAUAAGUGGAUGACUAAGGAAUAGGUGGAACCAAUAGCACCAUAUUGCUAGCUCUAGUGGAGUAUAGCUAGCUUAAAUAUGGAAGCCACACUCACUCACCAAGUCAUGGAUGAGAGGAGAGAGUGUGGAGAGCCACACGCGCGCGCGCUCGCUGGCCUGGCCAGGGCGGGGCGAAGGGCGCGGGCGCACGACAUGCGCGUGAAUGGUCCGCCGAAAUCCGGCCCCUCGCCUUGCGGGGGCGCGGCUACCUUUUGCCGUUUGAUUUUUUGGUUUCUUGGCUGUUACGCUUAUCCUAACAGCCUCCAAAUCACCCCAGUCGCAGAGGUGCAUCUGCGAUCAGGAGAGCAGGUCUCCGGAACCCUUCGUCUUCUAGAUCCUGCACCGGGAGAGGGCGAAUAAGGUUUUUGGGAAGCGUCUUCACGUGACUGCUCGUGAUCUGCUGACCUCGUCGACCCUGCUGAUUUCGCUACUUCGACAUCGUCGACCCUGCUGAUUCCGGCGCGUGCCAUCUAUCAGUAAGUCUAAUCAGUACGCAUCAGCUGAUUUGACUUGUUAUUUCAGUUCUUCUGAUUUGGUCAUGAUUUAUAUUCGGAAUUUAAACUGGAAUUUGUCUAAUUAUUCAACAAUCUAAAAAGCUUAUUGUAGACAAUUUCCUAGUUUUUCUAUGGCUGCUUUUGCCGACGCGCUGAAGCCAGAAAAGUUUAAUGGUAUGCACUUUAAGAGAUGGCAAGUCAAGGCCACGCUCUGGCUUACUGCUAUGAAUGUCUUCCAUGUUAGUAAAGGCAGACCUGAGGGUCCACUGACUCCUGAACAGGAGAAAGAGUACGACCAUGCCAAUACUAUGUUCACGGGAGCCGUUCUUAGCGCCCUUGUUGACCGUCUGGUUGAUGCGAAUAUGCAGUACACAGACGGGAAAGAGUUGUGGGAUGCACUUACUACUAAGUAUGGUGCAUCAGAUGCUGGCAGUGACCUGUAUAUCAUGGAGAGCUUUCAUGAUUAUAAGAUGGUUGAUAAUCGCUCUAUUGUAGAGCAAGCUCAUGAAAUACAGUGUAUAGCCAAGGAGCUCGACCACCUUAAGAUAGUCCUUCCUGACCGAUUUGUGGCUGGGUGCAUUAUUGCAAAGUUGCCUUCUACAUGGAGGAACUUCGCCACAGCUCUGAAACAUAAGAGACAGGAGAUAUCAGUUGAAAAUCUGAUAGCGUCUCUGGAUGUUGAGGAGAAAGCUCGGGCUAAGGAUACGAGAUCUAAAGGAGGCGAGGGCAACUCCAGCGCCAACAUGGUUCAAAGGAACCACAACAAGGGAAAAGGAAAGCCAAAAUCUAACAAGCCCAACAAAACUACCAACUUCAAGAAGAAGAAGAACAAGGCUGAAUUGACAUGUUUCGCAUGUGGCGAGGCGGGUCAUUUUGCCAAGGAUUGUCCCGAUCGAGCGGAUCGCCGUGGCAAAAAGGGCAAUGUCAACACAGUGGUCGCUAGCAAUGAGGAAGACAAAGGCUAUGGUAAUUUACCUUUCAUCUUCUCAGUAUUUCAAUCACCUAGCUGGUGGCUUGAUACUGGUGCUAAUGUUCAUGUGUGUUCUGACAUUAACUUGUUAUCUUCUUAUCAGGGCGCCCGGGAUUCUUCCGUGCUAAUGGGGAAUGGGUCACAUGCUUCUGUUCAUGGCACUGGCAUGGUGGAUCUGAUGUUUACUUCGGGAAAGAUCGUGCAGCUGAAGAACGUGCAUCAUGUCCCUUCUAUACACAAGAAUCUCGUUAGCGGAACCCUUCUAUGUAGAGAUGGGUUCAAGGUAGUUUUGGAGUCCAAUAAAUUAGUUGUGUCCAAGUCUGGACAAUUUAUUGGUAAAGGCUAUGAUUGCGGAGGCUUGUUCCGCUUUUCUUUGUUAGAUUUCAAUAAUAAGUCUGUGAACCAUAUUUGUGCUAAUGUUGAUGAUCUUGCGAGUAUUUGGCAUUCUCGUUUGUGUCAUAUUAAUUUUGGCUCUAUGUCUCGGCUUGCAACCAUGAGUUUAAUUCCGAAUAUCACCAUAGUCAAAGGUUCUAAGUGUCAUAGUUGUGUGCAGUCGAAGCAACCUCGAAAGCCUCAUAAGGCUGCUGAGGAGAGACACCUGGCACCACUAGAACUCAUACAUUCUGAUCUUUGUGAGAUGAAUGGUGUGUUGACAAAAGGUGGUAAGAGAUACUUCAUGACAUUGAUUGAUGAUGCGUCUAGAUUUUGCUAUGUAUACUUGCUAAAAACUAAAGAUGAGGCUUUAGACUACUUUAAAAUCUAUAAGGCUGAGGUUGAAAACCAACUAGAGAGAAAGAUCAAACGUCUUAGAUCAGAUCGUGGUGGCGAGUUCUUUCCCAAAGUCUUUGAUGAUUUCUGUGCAGAACAUGGCAUUAUUCAUGAGAGGACUCCUCCCUAUUCACCAGAGUCAAACGGUAUUGCUGAAAGGAAAAAUCGUACGUUGACUGACCUGGUGAAUGCCAUGUUAGACACUUGUGGUUUAUCUAAGGCAUGGUGGGGGGAGGCAGUCCUGACUUCAUGGCAUGUUCUGAAUAGAAUUCCUAUGGGCAAAGAAGAGAAAACCCCUUAUGAGAAGUGGGUUGGAAGAAAACCAUCACUUUCAUACUUGCGCACUUGGGGGUGCAUGGCGAAAGUCAAUGUACCAAUUAAUAAAAAGCGCAAGCUUGGUCCAAGGACAGUGGAUUGUGUCUUUCUUGGAUAUGCUUCGUGUAGCAUAGCAUAUAGAUUUUUAGUAGUUAAAUCUGAAGUUCCUGAUGUGUAUGUUGAUACUAUUAUGGAAUCACGUGAUGCUACUUUCUUUGAGCAUAUAUUUCCAAUGAAAGACAUUCAUAGCAAUUCUAGAUACUCUUCUGAGAUAAUUCCUGAACAUAAUACACCUAUUGAGAGUUUUGAACAGCCACAUGAAAUUGUCCUAGAGGAGGAUGACAAUGAUGCUCCUAAAAGGAGCAAGAGACAAAGGGUUGAAAAAUCCUUUGGUGAUGAUUUCAUUGUGUACCUUGUGGACGAUACUCCUACUACCAUUGCGGAAGCAUUUGCAUCUCCAGAUGCAGAUGAUUGGAAAGAAGCAGUUCAUAAUGAGAUGGACUCUAUUCUUUCAAAUGGUACGUGGGAAGUCACUGAUCGACCCUAUGGAUGCAAACCUAUGGGUUGUAAGUGGGUGUUUAAAAAGAAGCUCAAGCCUGAUGGUACAAUUGAAAAGUACAAGGCUAGGCUUGUGGCUAAAGGCUAUACUCAGAAAGAAGGAGAAGACUUCUUUGAUACUUACUCACCUGUUGCUAGAAUGACCACUAUUCGAGUACUACUUUCUUUGGCUGCCUCGUAUGGUCUCCUUGUUCAUCAGAUGGAUGUAAAGACAGCUUUUCUUAAUGGAGAGCUGGACGAGGAAAUCUAUAUGGAACAACCUGAUGGAUUUGUAGUAAAGGGUCAAGAAAGCAAGGUGUGCAAGUUAUUGAAAUCUUUGUAUGGUCUGAAGCAAGCACCAAAGCAGUGGCAUGAGAAGUUUGACACGACUCUAACGUCUAUAGGCCUUGCCAUUAAUGAGGCAGACAGGUGUGUAUAUUAUCGCUGUGGUGGGGGCGAAGGAGUUAUAUUGUGCUUAUAUGUUGAUGAUAUAUUGAUAUUUGGCACAAACAUUGAUGUGAUCAAUGAAGUCAAGUCUUUUCUAUCAAAGAGUUUUGAUAUGAAAGAUCUGGGAGAAGCUGAUGUGAUUCUAAACAUCAAGCUGAUUAAGGCAGAUGGUGGGAUUACUCUCUCGCAAUCUCACUAUGUUGAAAAGGUUUUGAAGCGAUUUGGCUUCUCUGAGUGCAAACCUUCUCCAACACCUUAUGAUCCCAGUGUGACACUGCGAAAGAACAAGAGAAUUGGUUUAGACUGUAACGCCCUGAAUUUGGGGGUAGAAUUUUUUCUUCUUUUUUUCUCACCAAAUUCGGGCGUUACCCUCUUUUCUCUUUCCCCGUUGGCUCCUUCUUCCCAAUUUCAAACCAGUAUAGCGACAAGUGUCCGUGUCAUGUAUAAACCUAAGUGUCAUGGGUGUUGCAUCAUGCCGAAGCACAUUUCUUUGUCUGAUGUUGAGUGUUCGUCUCGUUCCGUUCCGGAUUUCGAUUCGCGAUUUAAUUCCGUUUAGUGGUCCGCACACGUCGUGGGUUUUCCAUCCGCGAAGUGGCCCGGCCCAGCCCAGCCCAGCCCAGCCCUGCCCUGCCCGGCCCGGUCCGGCCCGGCCCUGCGCGCCCCUGGCGCCCAACCCCCCCCAUGCGCCCCCCUCCUCUCCUCCCUCUCUCAUUUGGAUCUCCCGCGCAACAACCUCUCCUCUCCCUCUUCCACCUCUCUCUCCCCGUGGUGCCCUAGGAUUUGGAGACGGCGAUCACCGGAUUUUGGACCCCGAGGUGAGCUCCCCUCCCCUCCCCUUCUCCUCUCUCUCUCUCUCUCCCUCUCCUUCUUCCUCCCCACGCGCGCCCCCCUUUUUCUUCCCCUGCUCGCGCGCGCCCCUGCCCGGCCCCGCGCGGCGGCGCGGCCCCGCCCGGCCUCCCCACGCGGCGGCGCCCGCGGCCCCGCCCUGCUCCCCCGCGGCGCGCGACCCCGCCCCGGCCCCGCUCCCUGCUUCCCCGGCGCGGCGCGGCCCCCCGACCCGGCCCUGCGCGCGGCGGCGCGGCCCCGCCCGGCCUCCCCUCGCGGCGGCGCCCGCGGCCCCGCCCUGCUCCCCCCCGCGGCGCGCGACCCCGCCCCGGCCUCCCCGCGGCGGCGCUCGCCCCCGUCCCAGCCCCGUGCGCGGCGGCGCGGCCCCGGUGGCCCCUGCUCGCCCGGUGCGGCCCCGGCGGCUCCCUGCUCGCUCGGCGCGGCCCCCGGAGCGGCGGCGUGACCCCGGCGCGGUCCGGCCCCUGGCCGGUUCAACCGCCCCCCCCGGUUCAACCGCCCCGGCCCGGUCGCCCCACCCCCGUCCCGGCCUCGCCCGACCGUGUCCUCGCUCGCCCGCGCUCGCGAUGAUUAUUUUUGUUAGUCGAUAGUUAAUGUCAAACUCCGUUAGUUAGCGUGUUGCGUCGCGCGCUUCGCCGCACGACGGAUUUGUCUAAUUUCAGAUUCUAUCUAUGUGUUGCGUCGUGCGCUUCGUCGCGCGACGAUCCAGUUUAAUUUCAGGUUGUUUAAGGUGUAACGCCGCGUGUGUAUUCACGCGACGUUCCACUUUGGACUCAGUUUAGUCGACGUAUGCCGUCGUGCGUCUCGCCGCGCGACCAUCCUUUUUAUUUAUCUCCACCUGCUUAUAAUGAUUAGACAUGAAACAUGACUUUACUUUACGCUAAACAUAGUGUCUACAUUAAAUUUCCUUCCAUUAAGCGAGUCGUUAAUUUAUAAUCAUGUAACGUGAUCGUUUCUCGACUGUCUUUUCCUCUUUCUCUCUUAACCGUACUCGCGAGCCCGCGUGGAACGUCUGUUUACUUAUUGCAUUCUAUUGUAUGGUGUACUGUUCUUUUGUAUUAAAUAUGUGUAUGUAUGUAUGUUUGCGCUCGCAUAGAGAACGAUCCGGUCGAAGAGCCCGAGGAACCCGCAGGAGAAGCCCCUGAGCAGCAGUCGAUUGGUGGAGACAAGUGUCCCUUGACCUAUCUCUGUCCUAUUCAUUAUUUAAUUCACCUCCCGCAUUACACAUUUAUACUUAAGGAUUGACUAGCUUUUGUUAUCCAUAUCCUUGUUUACCUAUUUGGGUUGGAUUAUUAUUGUUUAGCUUUAUGCUAUGCUCAAACUCUAAUCAAUGAACAUGAUGAGAUUAUCUAUGAUACGCUGUUUUCCCUUCUCUUAUUAUGAUGUUAUGCUUGUGGUCUUCAAGGGGGCUCGAGCGGUUUCUCGAGUGCCUCUCCGUAAGGACCUGUUCUAUGGAUGACCGCCCGGGAAAACAGUGCAACCAUGAGGGUGGAAUGGGAUGCCCUUAGCUGAAUAAUUAGAGGAUCCGGGGUGUAGAUCACUUAGCCGUUGUGCCGUCAAUGGGGCUCGGUGUAUGCGACUCGCUCUACCAAGUUUGGGUUCGCCCCUUGGGGAGGAGUGCGGUGCAUUUAGGAAACCUAACGGGUGGCUACAGCCCCGGGGAAUCUUUGUAAAGGCUACGUAGUGAUGCCCUGCUGGGUCACCUUGGUAGUGAUCAAUGGAGAGUCAUGAUCUCCGGGCAGAAUGGGAAUCACGGCUUGUGGGUAAAGUGCACAACCUCUGCAGAGUGUUUGAAAACUGAUAUAUCAGCCGUGCUCGCGGUUAUGAGCGGCCAAGGGAGCUCCAGUGAUUAGUGGUACUUGAUCAGAGAUACUUUGGUACAGGUGGCUAUGAGAUCGAUGGUUUUGGUUAUGACUAUGGUGCUGGUAAGUGGUAUUCUUUCCGUUUGGAAAGGGUACAUCGGGCUAAUAACUUGGGUUAAUGCUAAAACCUGGCUUUCUAUUAGUAAAUAAUAAUCUGACCAACUAAAAGCAACUGCUUGACUUAUCCCCACAUAAAGCUAGUCCACUACAGCCAAACAGGAUACUUGCCGAGUAUGUUGAUGUGUACUCACCCUUGCUCUACACACCAAACCCCCCAUCCCCAGGUUGUCAGCAUUGCAACCACUGCUCAGGCGAAGAUGAAGCUGUGGAAGGAGACUUCCAGGAGUUCCAAGACUACGACGAGUUCUAGGCGUGGGUUAGCGGCAACCCCCAGUCGGCUGCCUGUGAAGGCCGCGGUUAUCUACGUUUCGUUUUCGCACUUUGAUUUAUUGUAAGGACUAUAUGGACGUCUCAGACGUAUGAUGUAAUCGACUAUUAUUUCCCUUUUAAUACUAUUUGAGCACUGUGUGAUGAUGUCCAUGUUAUGUAACUGCUGUGUACGUGAAUAACUGAUCCUGGCACGUACAUGGUUCGCAUUCGGUUUGCCUUCCAAAACCGGGUGUGACAUAGACCAAUUGAGAUACUCUCAGAUUGUCGGUUCACUCAUGUAUCUUGCUGGUGCAACAAGGCCCGAUAUCUCGUUUGCUGUGAGCAAAUUGAGUAGGUUCAUGUCAAACCCCGGGACUGAUCAUUGGCAUGCACUUGAGCGGGUUAUGCGCUACCUGCAAGGUACAAUGAGUUAUGGAAUUCACUAUUCUGGUCAGCAUGCAGUACUUGAAGGAUAUAGUGAUUCGAACUGGAUAUCUGAUGCAGAUGAGCUUUAUGCCACCAGUGGUUAUGUCUUUACUAUUGGUGGAGGUGCGGUAUCAUGGAGGUCAUGCAAGCAGACCAUUUUGACGAGGUCAACCAUGGAAGCCGAGCUAGCUGCACUUGACACAGCAACCGUUGAGGCAGAAUGGUUGCGUGAACUCUUGAUGGACUUGCCGGUGGUUGAGAAACCAAUACCAGCUAUCCUUAUGAACUGUGACAAUCAGACAGUGAUUGCUAAAGUGACGAGUUCUAAGGAUAAUGGAAAGUCAUCAAGACAUGUCAAAAUACGUUUGAAGUCUGUCAGAAAGUUGAGAAACUCCGGAGUUAUAAGUGUGACUUAUAUUUCAACAGAUAAAAAUCUGGCAGAUCCUUUUACCAAGGGACUACCACGUAAUGUGAUAGAAAUCGCAUCGAGAGAGAUGGGUAUGAGACCCGAAUAAAGUUGCCAUGGUGGGAAUCCAGUCUAUGUGAUCGGAGAUCCCGUGAAUUAGGUCCUGGGAAGAACAAGCCAUUGGUGAACUGAGGAGAGUAACCUUUGACCCUCUCUAAGUAAAGAUGCAAUACUCUCAAAUGCUGUAAGGCAGGUUGGCUUUAUGCCUUAAUGUGUUCUGUUGGCUUGUAUUAGCGAAGAUGUUGUCCUGCAGAACAUUCUUUGAAAGAACACACCUAUAUGAGUUAGACUGUCUAACGUCGCAGUCUAUGAGAUUUGGGUGAUCUCUAGUAAACUCAUGAAGAGACCUUGGAGUACGACGUAUAUGCUCCACCCGAGAAGGGGACUACUGGUAGCCAAGUACUGGUCAUGACUUCAAGUGAAACCCAUUCACGCAAAACUUGCAAUUUAAGGCAUAGUCCAUUGUCCAAGUUGUGGGUUGGUGUAGCUUGGAGUACUAGGCGAAAGUUCAACUUAACAGUCUCUGCUGAAAAACUAGUAUAUUAAACAGUAGUGAACAGUGGCGAAAAUUGCAGAUGGACAUUUGAGAUCUGGUGGGGGAUUGUUAGGAUUUAUGGGCUAGGCCCAAUUGAGAAAUUCAAAUAAAUCCCAGGAAAAUCACAAAAGCCCAUAUAAGUGGAUGGCUAAGGAAUAGGUGGAACCAAUAGCACCAUAUUGCUAGCUGUAGUGGAGUAGAGCUAGCUUAAAUAUGGAAGCCACACUCACUCACCAAGUCAUGGAUGAGAGGAGAGAGUGUGGAGAGCCACACGCGCGCGCGCUCGCUCGCCUCGCCUCGCCUCGCCUGGCCGGGCCGGGCCAGGCCGGGGCGGGGCGGGGCGAAGGGCGCGGGCGCACGACAUGCGCGUGAAUGGUCCGCCAAAAUCCGGCCCCUCGCCUUGCGGGGGCGCGGCUACCUUUUGCCGUUUGAUUUUUUGGUUUCUUGGCUGUUACGCUUAUCCUAACCGAUCGCUAUAAAAUCUCAACUGAUUGCGAGAUUUUCGUGGGCGGAUAAGCACGGGGGGUCGCGGACUCGGCCCUAUAAAAGGAGCCUGGCAGCCAGCCUCCAAAUCACCCCAGUUCGCUUUCGCCUCUCUUCAUAGCUGAGCCGCCUUUUAGUUCCCUUCGUCCCGACCGCAGAGGUGCAUCUGCGAUCAGGAGAGCAGGUCUCCGGAACUCUUCGUCUUCUAGAUCCUGCACCGGGAGAGGGCGAAUAAGGUUUUUGGGAAGCGUCUUCACACGACUGCUCGUGAUCUGCUGACCUCGUCGACCCUGCUGAUUUCGCUACUUCGACAUCGUCGACCCUGCUGAUUCCGGCGCGUGCCAUCUAUCAGUAAGUCUAAUCAGUACGCAUCAUCUGAUUUGACUUGUUAUUUCAGUUCUUCUGAUUUGGUCAUGAUUUAUAUUCGGAAUUUAAACUGGAAUUUGUCUAAUUAUUCAACAGCUAGUAGCCGCGACAUCCGAAUACGGUGCGUGCUGCUGGAUCUGGGCAAGAACACGCGUUACGAUCAGGAUGCACAAUAUAUAACUCAAACUUAUAAUCUAUUGAUUGCAAGCAUUAUGCACUUACUACUACACCAAACAUAAUUUUUAGGUAUGACUCUAGUCAUAGUAGGCUAUAAUGGGUGCUCCGCCACUGCGUGCUGCCGUGCUGGUGCUGUUGCUGCUAUGAGACAGAGAUGCCAAACGGAUCGGUCCGCCCGAUAAGCCUGUAAAUCGGCAUGGUUUUAUAGUCCUGUUCAAACACGACCCGUCACGUUGGUUACCAGGUCGUGUCCGGACUCCAGACACGGCACUGCGAAAUCAACCCGACACGACUAGAUUUUAUGUUUUCCCAAUUUUUUAAUAGAAAUAUCUACAUUACACGUGGUUAUAAGUAUAAAAUAUGAAAAUACAUGUGUCUUGUUAGUUAAGUGCGUGUGGAUAGGUUUUUAAAAGCUACAACCAUGGUUUAAAUCCUCAUUUUUGCAUAUUUUAGUCUUUUUUGUUAUUUAACUGUGAUGGAUUAACAUAGACCCGUUAGGACUAUCGAGCCAUAAGCCGAGCCGGUACGAUAAACAGCCUAAUUGAUCGUGCAUGUGCCUCGUUUGUGGCCCGCGUCCGCGUGCUGGCAUGGCAUGUCCAAUAGACCAAACCGGACUUAUCCUAAAUCGUGUCCCGUCUGAGCGGGCUCGGACCGUGAUGUAGUGUUCAUCGGACAAGGCAUCGAUCUUCCUCUCACGUACUGUUCAUGUUCUAGGUUCACGAGUCAGUCGGUGCUCUGAGGUCGGUCGGAGCUAAAUAGCGGAUGCAGAAGCAUGCAUGCACGUCUCUCGCCCGAACAGCACUAACGUACGGAAAAAAUUUGCUGCAGCCUGGCUACAAACCAGAAUAUAUGCAGCCCCUCACAAAAAGGAUGAUAAACCCCACCUACAGAUCCACCAGGUAACGUUUUAGUUGUGUUAUUGUUACUGCGGGUGGGAUUUAUCAUCCUUUUUGUAAGAGGCUGCAAACAUCCUGAUUUGCAGCCGGACUGCAGCAAAUUUUUUUCUAACGUACGGGGCCAUUCAGUCGAGCUUCACCAACCUUUUCGACCAAACGAUCAAAACUCAAGUAGCUAUAGCUUUAUCUGAGGAGCUCGGCUGCACUCGAGAGGAGGAGCUGGAGAGGGAAAAAUGGAUCGGGGCUCCUUUCUUUGGUCGGACGACUCGGACCUAGGAGCAGUGUGUGGCUGUUUUCGCAUCUUGAAUUGCCUAGGUGAUGUGAGAAGGGCAGCUGCGUGUUUAUGGUGUCGGGAUAACCGGAUAAGGUAGAGAGACAGAGAGGGCAAGGGCAAAUUUUGGGAGGCUCCAUCCUCAUACACAUUUUAGUCCUUUGGAUAUACGUAAAGUAGUAGAAGAAGAGAAGAUAGGUGGACGUGCUCCUCCUACACUAAUCCAUUCAUCAUCACAUUACUAAAAAGUCGCUAAUCCAUCCAUCAUCACAUCACAUAAGUUUAUCUCCAUUCACAAGUAAUACAAGUCUCUUCAUUAGGAACUUUGGCAUUAAAAUAAAUUAUGAGUUAACUCGUUUUCAUAAGCUUCAUGUGGAUUGCCAUCGUAUUUCCUUCUCCAUGUUGAUUUCUUAUGUUCCUUUCACUUAGCACUAUGCAAGUAACAUAUGGUUACAUAAAGAGCAUGGUUGCAUACACAGCCAAAGCAACAACUAGCAAUCUGAAUAAACAGUUCAGAGCUCAGUGCACACAUUCAACUCAAAAUAGCAAUUGGACACAUAUAUGAUGUUAUAUGCCCCAGGUGACCGAAACAUUGGCCAUAGGACCGCAAACAACACUUUCUAAUGAGGCACAACGAAGAUAGCAAUAUGGCCAUCCUCUUUUUAAUAGGACAUGCAUCUCUCUUGUAUUCUUAGAAUAUAAUCAACAAUGUCAUCAUUAUAAAUGUUUGGGGUGUAAUUAAGGUUUAAGGUGGAGCAUAUCGAAGUGACGAAGUGGACUGAAAUGGUAUGGAGGUGGAGCGAAGUGGACUGAAAUGGUAUGGAGGUGGAGCAGAUCUGAGUGGCGUCUUCCUAUUCUCGAUAUUGAGGGCAGAACACUUUUUAUACUUUCAGCGGCAUUAGUACAAAUUAAGGGCCUAUUUAGAUAGACUAAAAUAAUUAUUGCAUGGUUAAUGGACACCUGAUUCUGCUAUUCCAUAGGAGUAUGAAAGCAUUGGGUUCUCUCUGUACUAGAGUUCCGUUGUAGAGAUACCUAGACUAGAUAAUAUAUAAAUGUUCAUAGUACAAUUUCCAACUGAUGAAUAUACUGAGAAACAAUUCUUGAUAAUAGAAUAAUUGUACUAUUAUGUGAAAAUAGACUUGGACAUACAUCUUUGCAACAAAACCACCGAGGCGACAGAAACAGGAUCCUGAGACAGAGGCCACCGAGGCGUACUUUGAGUUUGCGUCCCAAUCCACACUCGAUCGUCUAUGUCGUUGUAAGUAGUCGUCUGUGUCUCCGGUCCACACAUGGCACAAGCUACCAUGAGCAGUGCCAGAAGCAGCAAGGCCCUCGUGGUGGCACGCCGCCAUCACAGAUCUAACAUCAAGUGGCACCCUAUGCCGAUCUAUGGUGGAUUCACGACCGAAGUCGGCGGCUGAGGUGAAAUUUGUUGGGAGGAGGUGUCAGCAGCAACACGCAGGUGGGGGAAGGGAGCGAUCGAGCGGGGGGGGGGGGGGGGGGGGUGGGGUGUCAACAGCAGCACGAGGUUGGUGAUAAUGUCCCGUGAAAAGAGGUGAACUUAUCAUAGGUCGAGCGAAGGAAGCAGCACGGGGAAGAUGUACUAUCGGCGGGGGUGAAUGGGUGGCGGCGACUGAGAACGCGCGAUACGAGAGGAGGAAACAAAUCGAGAUAACUGCCGGACCUUCGAACGUUGGGCGUGGUUCCACGGGAAAGUUGGGCUGACACCGGGCCGAUAUCACCACGAAUCAGCCUUCCAAACAGGCUGGAACCAUGCUCGGGGAAUAUUCUUGUGCUGGACGCCGACACAAGGAAAACAACAAAUUACCGACGAGGAAUUGGUCUGCCAAACCAGCCAUAAGAGAUGCUUGGUUUGAGAAAUCAAUUCGUCCAAAAUUAGGUGGUGUAUCAUGAGUCAAUUUCUCAAAUUUGAUUAAAUAACUCCAUUCCUUAUAUUAGUAUUAACUAACUAACUAUAAAGAAUAAGGUGGUGAUGGUCAUUUCACAAACCAAUUAAAAAAAUAAAAGUGAAAAGAUGAUAGAUUAGCUCGUUCUUCAGACCAAACACUCUAAAGGUAGACUAUGGUUUAUUUUCAUCCAGAGAGGAAAUGAAGAAAAGAGAAACGAGAGAGAAUGAUGAAGAAAUAAAAAAAAGUCAGAGAAGAGUAGCCCUCAUCGGCAAAGUAGCCAAUAUGAGUUUUCACAGUUUUUUUUUUUCUUAACUUUAGAUAUGAGCUUGUUUCAACUAUCUUCUGCAAAGCACGCCCCAGUGCUCCCCACUGCCUCCUUCCGCUCACGUAUAUAGACGGCAAGCAAUUUCAGCGCAGUACCCGUUCAUAAGAAGUAAGUUUUAAAAAAGUUGAAGCAUGAUCAUGGUUGAUCGAAGCAAGCAUCAGAGUUAUCUUGAUAACAUCGAGUUCCAGGGAACCCAAUCAUCGGCGUGUUAUAAAAGCGGUAGAACGUUACUAUGUACGCAAAUCCAGGUCAGAGACAUUGUGGACACCAGAUUUCUUGAACAUGUUAGGAAGGUAAUGCCUUCUUUCUCGUCAGAACCAUAACCGAUGUUGGGCAACAAAGCUGACCUUCUGAACUUCCUUCUGACACAGGAGUCGACGCCCUUCGGCCUGCACCAGCUUGGAGCCACAAGUGUUUAUUUAAGCAUGAAUCGACAUGAACAGGAAUGUAAAAGAUGGCAUGAAGUGUCAGCAUUUUAUCGCUCCUUGUGCACAUGACCAUGAAUUGUUCUAAGGGCAAAGCUACUAAACCACAACAAACAGCCAUAUAUUCUACUCUAAACAUAUGACAAAUGGUGCAAUGCACACAGGAUGCAGGUGCCAGGGGGUGUUGGGGUAUGUUCUUUGGGCACAAGACAGAUGCUGUCAAAUGUAUUAGUUGGUGUUAACAGUUUAAAAAGUACAUAUAACGGGUGAUGUCAUCCUUGCAAAUUUUCAUGAAACAAAAGCAAUAAUAAAGCAGUAAUAUUGCAGUAGUGUAUUGAUCAUGCAAGGAUAAGCAAAAAAAAAUGUUGUUCGUGUACACACCACACAGUGACUUACCACGUCUGUUUAGCCCGUUUAAAUGGCUGUUUAGCAUGAAUAAAUAGCUAUACGGUACUGGCAAAAAAAUCAGUUGAUCAUGCAGGAAAGCAACUAUCAUAUCGUUGCAAAGUUUCAUCGAAAGCAAAAUGUGAAAUCUAGUGCAACAUAGUGCCACUAAAGAAAUGCUACCUCAAGAAAGUUGCUUUGAAAGCAAAACAAGUUGUUUCCGAGAAAGGAUCAGCCAUAAUGAUGUGAUCAUGCAGAAACCAUGGUUUUCUUAAGCGAGCGUCGGGCUAAAAAUGUUGGGAGAAGUCUAGGCAAGCAUUCAUGCUCUGAAUGAAGCCCACGCCUUUUUAAUCCGACCCACUUCAUGAAGCCAUGAAGCAAUUGAUGUAGAAGAGUUUGCGAGAGCCACAGUGCUAUACUUACGCAAGGGCUAGGGCCCUCUUCCUUUAUCCCGAUGCUCACUUAAGAAACAUGUUUUCUACCUCAGACCUUUUACUGAGCCAUCAUAUCCUUUUCUUUCAGAAACAAUUAUCGAUAAAAAAGGUUAACUGAAUAAAAGUCUGCAAUUAAAGUUCCUAACUCUAUUGCAUGCAAGGUUCGUUCAUGAAAACACCAGGUGUCCACAGCAAAUUUGACUGUGCAUGUGUAUGCUACAUGUGUAGAUAGUUAGAAUUACUUGUCUCUACUCAAACACAGAUACUACGAGUACAGUGCUUUUAUCCAGCGACUGUAUCGUGCAAGAACAAAAACUAACAGAUACUACGAGUACUGAACAAUAACGCUUCCUCGCAUAGACAGUUUAACAGCCAUCUUCGCUAUAUUUCAAACCAUAAGAAGUUACUCAACAAGGCUAAAUCCCCAUUAAAAUUACUCGAACGACAGAUGAAAACAGUAAUCAAGAUUCAGAUUGAUACGGUCUGCAACAAAUACAACGGGCAUCAUUUCAGAAUUCAGAUAAGAAUUAUGGAUAAGAACUCAAGGCAUUCUUAGUCGUCGAGGUGAGGCCUCAUGAGUCAGCAGCGGGCACCGCCAUUUCUGCUCCACAGUUGCAAAGAAACAACACGAGUGCCAAUUCGGAGCAAGAACUACGAAACCAGAUGACAAACAAAUUGCAAAGAAACAACACGAUUGUCGAUUCGGAGCAAGAACCACGAAACCAAAUGACAAUUAGCUACGAGCCUACGCGACGCUCUGUACCUUUGGAAACUCACAGAACCUACCCAAGGAGACUAUGACGAUGAGAGGAGGAAGAACGGCGCGACGGCGGCGGAGGGCAUCGACGAGAAACAGAUGGAAACCCUACGACCCUCCGCAAUGCUAAAGCUGUGGGCUUUAAUAGUACCAGCUCGAAGCAACUCAAGACCUACCAGCCCAUGUGCAUAGUUGGUCCCAUUUCGUUAGCAGGCUAUU